UGUUUUUGAUGUUAUUUAGGAAAUUUGAUCGCACAGAUAAGUUUGUAUGAUGUAGAUGAGUUAGUAAUUGUGUUUGGUUAGGAGCCCCGAGGGCUCGGGUGUGUUUCGGAAGGUUUUAGACUUGAAAAAUAUUGCAUGUUUUCCAGUUCUGGAAUUAUGAUAUGCCCUAUUUCGCGUUUGCGAGAGGACCUCGCGAUCGCGAUGUGUAGACUUUUUGCUGAAGGAACUUCCUUCUAUGUGAACACGUAGUGCAGGUUGCGAACGCGAGGAAACAUGGGCUAUACCUUUGCGAACAUGUUCCUGGUUACGCGAACGUGAAGGCUAAGUGUACUGGGCAGGGGGAGGGGUAGAAACCUUACGCAACGCGAUCCAUGGAACGCGGACGCAAGGCUCGAGAAGCUAAAAGCUUCGCGAAUGCGAGCUCCUUAGCACGAACGCGAAGGCUUAAUCAGCCUAACCCAUCGUGAACGUGAAGGGCAAUUUUGCCCAAUUAUUUUAAAACCCCAAAACAAAACCCAUUAUAGGAUUUUCGUAAAAUAUCAUCAACCCUUUCUUCUCCAAAGCUCCUAGGCGAUUUUUGAAGCACUUCUUCACCAAAGCUUCUUGGGUAAGUAUUGUUUAACUUGUUUUCUUCAUUUUCCAUCAACACCCACUAGAAUUUUAGGCCUAAAACAUGUAGUUAAUGGUAGGAAAUUAGGGAUUUGGGUAGAACUAGGGCUUUUUGAUUAAUGGUGAUUUAGACCUCGUUUUGGUGUCGAAUUUUAGAAGUAAUUAUAUAUUUGGACUCGUGGGUGAAUGGGGGAUUUGAUUUUGAUCCGUACUUCUUAUUUUGACCAAGUGGGCCCAGGGUCAAUUUUUGGGUUUUUGGGAAGAAUGAUUGGAAAGCUAUUAUUAGGCAUUGGAUUCUCAUUGUUUAGCAUUUAUUGAUGGUAUGAAGUCAUUUAUGUAUAGAUUCAGUCAAUUUGGAGCCAAAUUGGAGAGGAAAAGUGGUAAUUAAGGAUUGAAUUGGUCGUGGAUGUUCGAGGUAAGUGUUUGGUCUAACCUUAGCUUGAGGGAUUAGGAGGUGUGCCUAUUUGCUAUUUGUUUCUUAUUGAGUAUGACGUAUAGGCAUGGUGACGAGUAUCUAUACGUCGGUAUCAAGCAUGACCGUGAGUCUUAUACUGUGAUUUUAAUGAUUUCGUUGUAUUAUUCUUGCCUUGGUAAAGAUUUUAUUUGUUGGGUAAAGUUGUGAAAAGAAUUGUGACUUAUGAACAUUGAAGAGCGAUGACUCCAGUUGUGUAACGAAUUGUGAAAGUAUAAGUGAUAAUUGAAACUCUAGAGCAUUAGCUCGAGUUGUGAAGUGAAUUGUGAAGUAAAAGUGAGAAAGAGAAGAGAUCAUUGUAUUUCCCCCUUGUUGGUUUAUUGUUGAGUUAUGAUUCCCUUGCAUUGUGUUCUUAGUUGAUGUUACGGAUGCUUAGGUUGAUGAUCCCUUAUGGUAGGUGUUGUAAUAAGUUUAGUUAUAGCUAAAGUAGUUAGAUGUUGAAAUGAGAUUGGUUAUAACUGAAGUAGUUAGGUGUUGUAACAACUUUAAUUAUCAUCGAGGUAGUUAGGUGUCGGAACGAGUUUGAUUAUAGUUGAGGUAGUUAGAUGUUAGAACAAGUUUGGUUAUAGUUGAGGUAGUUAGAUGUUGGAGCAAGUUUGGUUAUAGUUGUUUCUCCAUUUCUGGGAUAAUAUAGACCUUACUGAUCCCUUGUCGGGACUGUUAUUAUAUUUUCAAAUAUUAUAUAUAUGGAUUGGGUUGCACACCACAACAAUAUUAUAUAGAUGGAUGGGGUUGCACGACUCAACAAUAUUAUAUAUAUGGAUCGAGUUGCACGCUGCAAAAAUAUUAUAUACAUGGAUCGGGUUGCACGCCACAACAAUAUUAUAUAUAUGGAUCGGGUUGUGCGCCACAACAAUAUUAUAUACAUGGAUAGGGUUGCACGCCACAACUAUAUUAUAUACAUGGGUCGGGUUGCACGCCGCAAUAAUAUUAUAUAAAUGGAUCAGGUUGUACACUGCAACAAUAUUAUACACAUGGAUAGGGUUGCACGCCACAACGAUAUUGUAUAUAUGGACUGGGUUGCACGUCGCAACAAUAUUGUAUAUGGAUCGGGUUGCACGCCGCAACAAUAUUGUAUCUGGAUCGGGUUGCACGCACAACAAGAUAUAAUGAAAUGGGAGCGGGCGGUAUGAUUACCACAAGAUAUCACGAAAAGGGAGCUGGUGGUAUGCCUACCACAAGAUGUGAAAAGAAAGUGAAAUAUGCAUUUAUUUUCUUACUCUUGUUAGAGGUUGGAUUUUGAUUUCUUUAUAGUUUUUUUGAUAAUCUAUUCUUACCUGUUAUUCCUCGUAGCAUGUUUUUCCCCUCCCAUCUUCACUUGUUUAUUUUUGCUUUACUUUCCAUUGCAUAUCAUAUAACUGCGCAUGUGUAUUUGGUAGUCUGGUCCAAGCCUCUUCACUACUUCGCUGAGGUUACGCUAGACACUUACCAACACAUGGGGUCGGUUGUGCUGAUAUACACUAUGCACUAUGUGCAAAUCCCGGAGCAGCUUUCAGAUAGUAGUUGGAGUGCUUCCUUUAGUCCACUCGGAGGCCUAAGAUAGACCUGCAGGUGACCACAUGCCCUGGCAUCUUCCUCUAUCUCUAUUUCCUGUUUUAUUUUCCUCUAUUCAGAAACAGUGUACUAUUAUUUCUUCAGACCUUGUGUGUAUUAAAUCUUAGAUAGUCUGAGACACUGUGACACUAGGUUUUAGGAAUUGAGGUUUUAAAAGUUGUAAUGGAUGUAGACUUCAGAUAUUAAAUUGUUAACUUCCGCUUAAGUAUUUAAGUUCUGUUUUUAUAUUUUAUCACCUUAUGUUUUUUAAAAGGAGGUAAUAUGAAAAUAAAGUAAGUAGUAAUGUUUGGAUUGCCUAGUUCUCAUUAGUAGGAACCAUCACGAUUCCCGAUGGUGGGAAAUCCGGAUCGUGACAAGUUGGUAUCAGAUCUCUAGAUUACAUGGAUCUCACAGUUCACAGACAAGCUUAGUAGAGUCUGAGGGAUCGGUACGGAGAUAUAUGUAUCUACCCCCUAAAGGCUACAUAAUUAGGAAAAGUUUCACUUUUAUUCUUCCCUAUGGUGCGAUUUUGGUCUCCCAGUGCUAAAUUAAAACCUCUACUCUUGUCAUUUCGCGAAUGGCGAGAUCAUGUACCGCUUCUUUAGCCGAACAACAGCAUGGACCGUUGAUAGAUCAGCUACUUCUUUGGAGGCUAUACGGAGGUUGGAUAGGUUCCACCAAGCUCUUCAGUAUUACUUCUUGCGGUGCAUCUUCUAAGGAUCCCAAGAUUUUCUAGACGACUGUCAUAAGGUUUUCAGGAGCAUGGGGAUUGUGGAUACCAAUGGGGUCGAUUUUGCUACCUUUCACUUGUCUAGAUCCGCCAAGACCUAUUGGAGAGACGAUUGUUUGACUAGACCUUUUAGGUCAUCAGCUUUGACUUGAGGAUAGUUGACCCGACUAUUUCUGGAGAAGUUUAUCCCUAUCACUCUGAGAGAGAGGCCUAUCUGAGGCAGUUUGAGCGUCUCCAUUAGGGUUCUAUGCCUAUUAAUUAGUACGAGAUUAGAUUCAUCAACUUGGCUCAUCAUGCUCUUAUCAUACUUCCCACUGUGAGCGAGAGUGAGGAGGUUCAUUGAGGGACUCGUUCAGCCCGCUCAGUUAACUGGAGGUGGAGAUAGAAGUAUUAGAGGUGGAGGUGCAGGUACUAUUCUGGUUUGUGAUAGAGGUGCUUUAGUGUUAUUUGAUCCAGGGUCUACAUACUUAUAUAUGUCAUCUUAUUUUUCCCCGCAUAUAGUAAUGCCUAGUGAUUCUUUGAGUGCCAUUGUUUAUGCGUCUAUGAUGGUGGGUGAUUCUAUUGUGGAGGAUCGCGUCCAUUGUUCAUGUAUAGUGGUUAUUGGAGGUCUUGAGACUCGUGUAAUUUCGCUUUUUCUAAACAUGGUUGAUUUCGAUGUUAUAUUAGGGAUGUACUAGUUAUCACCUUACCACGCUAUCUUGGACUGUCAUGCCAAGACUGUGACCUUAGCUUUACAGGGUAUGCCUCAUUAAAAUGGAGAAGGGUUUCAUUAGAACCAAUAUUUCGUCUAGGGUUGCACCAGUGUUGUUUGUUAAUAAAAAGGAUGGUUCGAUGAGAAAGUGUAUUGAUUACCAGCAGUUGAACAAGGUCACAAUCAUGAAUAAGUAUCUAUUGUCGAGGAUUGAUGAUUUGUUCGAUCAGCUUCAGGGUGCCAAGGCAUUAUCAAAAUUGACUUGAGAUAUGGCUACCAUAAGUUGAGGAUUAGGGCAUUCAGUGUCCCUAAGAUAGCUUUCCGCACUCGGUACGGGCAAUAUGAGUUCUUGGUUAUGUCAUUCGAGUUGACAAAAUGCCCCAGCAACUUUUAUGGAUUUGAUAACCGAGUGUUCAUACCAUAUUUGGACUCAUUCGUGAUAGUCUUCAUUGAUGAUAUUUUGACAUAUUCCCACAACCAGGAGGAGCACGAGUAGCAUCUCAUAGUGGUUCAUUAGACUCUAGAGGAUAGUUAGUUAUAUGCUAAGUUCUCAAAGUGUGAGUUCUGGUUGAGUUUGGUUCCAUUCCAGGGUCAUGUUGUAUCAGCAGAGGGUAAUCAGGUUGAUUCGAAGAAGAUUGAGGCAGUCAAGAACUGAACUAGACCAGCAUCAGCUACAGAGAUUCGGAGUUUCUUGGGAUUGGCAGGCUACUAUUGCCGGUUCGUGGAGGGAUUCUCAUCUAUCAUAGCCCUGAUGACCAGGUUGAUCCAAAAGGGUGCUCAGUUCAGAUGGUCGGACGAGUGUGAGGCGAGCUUUCAAAAGCUCAAGAAAUCUCUGAUUAUGGAACCGGUGUUCGUUUUGCCCACAGGUUCAGGGCCUUAUAUAGUUUAUUGUGAUGCUUCCCGCAUUGGGCCUUGUGCAGGCUGAUGCAGGAUGGCAAGGUCAUUGUCUAUGCUUCGAGGCAGUUGAAGAUUCAUGAGAAGAACUAUCCGGUGCAUGAUCUAGAGUUAGCAGCCAUAGUUCACGCAUUGAAGCUUUGGAGGCAUUAUAUGUAUGGCGUGGCAUGUGAGGUGUUCACCGAUCACAAGAGUCUUCAGUAUUUGUUCAAGAAACAAGAGUUGAAUUUGAGGCAGAUGAGGUGGUUGGAGUUGUAUAAGGAUUAUGAUAUCACUAUCUUAUAUCACCCGGGAAAGGACAAUGUGGUGGCCGACUUUGAGUAGAAAGUCAGCCAGCAUGGGCAGUCUUGCUUAUUUUCUGGUCGGUGAGAGGCCGCCUGCUUCAGAUGUUUAAGAUUUGGCCAAUCGGUUUGUGAGGUUGGCUAUUUCUUAGCCUAGUCGGGUAUUAGCUUGCACGGUCACUCGUUAUUUAUUAUUGGAGCGUAUCCGUGAUCGGCAGUUUGAUGAUCCUUAUUUGGGUACCCUUAGAGACACGAUGCAGCAUGAAGAUGCCAAGCAGGUUACCUUAGGUGAUGAUGAAGUUUUGAGAUUGCAGGGGCGAGUUUGUUUGCCUAAUGUGGAUGAGCUUCGAGAGUUUAUAUUAGAGGAGGCCCAUAGUUCCCGGUACUCCAUUCAUCUGGACGCCAUGAAGAUUUAUCAGGACUAGCGGCAACAUUAUUGGUGGCGUAGAAUGAAGAAGGAUAUUGUUGCAUGUGUGGCUCGGUGUUUGGAUUCCAGCAAGUUAAGUAUGAGCAUCAGAGGCCCGAUGGUUUAUAUUAGAGGAUUGAUCUUCCCAAGUGGAAGUGGGAGCAGAUCACUAUGGACUUCAUUACUGGACUUCUGCAUACUCAGAAGAAGUUCGAUGCAGUUUGGGUCAUAAUUGAUAGGCUGAUCAAGUCAGCACAUCUCAUUCUUGUGGCUGUCUCCUAUUCAUCCGAGAUAUUAGCUGAGAUCUAUAUUCGGGAGAUUGUUCGCCUUCAUGGUGUGCCCAUAUCUAUCAUUUAGGACUGGGAUACGCUGUUUACCUUGUACUUCUAGAGAUCAGUUCAACGAGAGUUGGGUACACGGGUUGAGUUGAGCACAACAUUUCAUUCGCAGAUGGACGGUCAGUCCGAGUGAACUAUUCAGAUUUUGGAGGAUAUGCUUUGAGCUUGUGUAAUUGACUUUGGAGGCUCGUGAGAUCAGUUUUUGCCUUUAGCAGAGUUUGCCUACAACAACAACUAUUAGUCAAGCAUCCAGAUAGCUCUUUAUGAGGCUUUAUAUGGUAGGCGGUACCGGUUUUCGGUUAGAUGGUUCAAGUCGGGAGAGGCUCGGUGUUGGGUACGAAUCUGGUUCGGGAGGCCUUGGAGAAGGUCAGGAUCAUUUAGGAUAGGCUUCAUUCAGCUCAGUCCAGGCAAAAUAGCUAUGCAUACCGCAAGGUCUGAGAUGUGGCUUUUAUGGUUGGUGAGAGGGUAUUGCUCCAAGUGUCGCCUAUGAAAAGCGUGAUGAGGUUUGGGAAGAAGGGCAAGCUUAGUCCUAGGUUCACUGGUCCGUUUGAGAUUCUUGAUCGAGUGGGAGAGUUGGCUAUUACACUUGCUUUGUGGCUGAUCUUAUCAGCCGUGUGUCCAGUGUUUCAUGUGUCCAUGCUUCCGAGGUAUCACGGCAAUCCCGCCCACGUGUUAGAUUCCAGCACUGUCCAGUUGGGCAAGGACUUGUCUUAUGAGGAGGAACCGGUGGCUAUUCUAGACCGACAAAUUCGUCAGUUGAGGUCGAAGAGUUUUCCCUUCUGUUCGUGUUCAGUGGAGAGGUCAGCCUCAUAAAACAUCGACCUGGGAGUCUAAGUCCGAUAUGCGGAGCCGUUAUCCUCAUCUUUUCUCCGACGCAGGUACUUCUUUCUUUUGUCCGUUCGAGGACGAACAAUUGUUUUAGAGGUGGAGAAUGUGACGAACAAAAGGGUCAUCACAUGUUUUAAUUGAAUUUUGUCUCUCCAAGGCCUUAAAACCCUCAUUUAGAGUCACCUCAUUUACGUGCAUAGUCCGGGUACGUAUCCGGAAGUCCGGGCACGUAGCCGCAAAGCGUAAACAUGAAAUUCUGUGAAAAAUGCUAAGUUUUCAUGUUAAAAAUAUAAAUUUGACUUUUGUUAAUAUUUUGGGAAAACAGACUCGAACCCGUGAUUUGACAGUCCCGAAGGAUCCGUAGGAAAAUAUGGGACCUGGGUGUAUGCCUAGAAUCGAAUUCCGAGGUCCCGAGCCCAAUAUAUGAAUUUUUAAGUAAAAUUAUUUUCUGAAAUUGUUUAAGGAAAUUUGAUAUGAAAAUUUAUUAGAACGUGUUAUAUCGGGCUAGUAUUUUGGUUUCGUUGCCUAAUACAGGGAUUAUAUAUGGUAUAAGUCCUUCAUGUAAAAUUUUAUUGAAAACAGACGUCGUUUGACAUGAUUCAAACUUGAAUUUCUAAAUUUGAAACUUGAUAAAGUUUGAGGAAAAGUUCUUGAUUUUGAGGUUUGAUUCAGUAUUUUUUAGGUUAUUUAGGCGAUUUGAUCGCAUGGAUAAGUUUGUAUGAUGUAGAUGAGUUAGUACAUGUGUUUGAUUAGGAGCACUGAGGGCUCGGGUGUGUUUUGGAUGUGUUUUGGAAGGUAUUAGACUUGAAAAAUAUUGCAGGUUUUCCAGUUUUGGUAUUUUGAUAUGCCCUUCUUUGCGUUCGCAGGAGGACCUUGCGAUUGUGAUGUGUAAACUUUUUGCUGAAGGAACUUCCUUCUACGCGAACGCGUAGACCAGGUCGCGAACGCGAGGAAACGGGGGGCAAUACUUUCGCGAAUGCAUUCCUGGCUACGUGAAUGCGUAGGCUAAGUGGCCUGGGUAGGGGGAGGGGUAGAAACCUUGCGCGAACGCGAUCCAUGGAACGCAAACGCGAGGCUCAAUAAGCUAAAAACGUCUCGAACCCGAGCCCCUUAGCACGAACGCGAAGGGUUAAUCAGCCUGACGCAUUGCGAACGCGAAGGGUAAUUUUGCCCAGUUAUUUUAAAACCCCAAAACAGUACCCAUUACGGGAUUUUCAUAAAAUAGCAUCAACCCUUUUUCUCCAAAGCUCCUAGGCGAUUUUUGAAGCACUUCUUCACCAAAGCUUCUUGAGUAUGCAUUGUUUAUCUUGUUUUCUUCAUUUUCCAUCAACACCCACUAGAAUUCUAGGCCAAAAACAUGUAGUUAAAGGUAAAAAAUUAGGGAUUUGGAUAGAACUAGGGCUUUUUUCUUAAUGGUGAUUUAGACCUUGUUUUGGGGUCGAUAUUUUGGAAAUAAUUAUAUAUUUGGUCUCGUAUGUGAAUGGGGGAUUUGAUUUUGGUCUGAACCUCGUGCUUUGACGUAGCGGGCCCGGGGUCAAUUUUUGGGUUUUUGGGAAGAAUGAUUGGAAAGCUAUAAUUAGGCAUUGGAUUCGUAUUGUUUAGCAUUUAUUGAUGUUAGGAAGUCAUAUAUGUAUAGAAUCAAUUGAUUUGGAUCCAAAUUGGAGAGGAAAAGCAGUAAUUGGGGAUUGAGUUGGUCGUGGAAGUUCGAGGUAAGUGUUUGGUCUAACCUUAGCUUGAGGGUUUAGGAGUUGUGUCCUAUUUGCUAUUUGUUUCUUGUUGAGUACGACGUAUAGGCAUGGUGACGAGUAUCUAUACGUUGGUUUUAAGCAUGACCAUCAGUCUUAUACUGUGAUUUUCAUGAUUUCGUUAUAUUAUUCUUACUUGGUGAAGAUUUCUAUUUGUUGUGUAAAGUUGUGGAAAGAAUUGUGACUUAUGAAAGAGCGAUGGCCCCAGUGUGUAAUGAAUUGUGAAAGUAUAAGUGAUAAUUGAAACUCUAGAGUAUUGGCUUGAGUUGUGAAGUGAAUUGUGAAGUAAAAGUGAGAAAGAGAAGAGAUCAUUAUAUUGCCCCCUUGCCAGUCUAUUAUUGAGUAAUGGUUCCCUUGCAUUGUGUUCUUAGUUUAUAUUAUGGAUGCUUAGAUUGAUGAUUCCUUUUAUUAGGUGUUGUAAUAAGUUUAGUUAUAGCUAGUGAUAUUACGGAUGCUUAGGUUGAUGAUCCCUUGUGUUAGGUGUUGUAAUAUGUUUAGUUAUAGCUAAAGAAGUUAGAUGUUGAAAUGAGAUCGGUUAUAGCUGAAGUAGUUAGGUGUUGUAACAAGUUUAAUUAUCGUCGAGGUAGUUAGGUGUCGGAACGAGUUUGAUUAUAGUUGAGGUAGUUAGAUGUUAGAAAAAGUUAGGUUAUAGUUGAGGUAGUUAGAUGUUGGAACAAGUUUGGUUAUAGCUGUUUUUCCAUUUCCAGGAUAGUGUAGACCUUAUUGAUCCCUUGUCGUGACACUUGUUAUAAUUUCUAAUAUUAUAUACAUAGAUUGGGUUGUACGCCACAACAAUAUUAUAUACAUGGAUGGGGUUGCACGACGCAAUACUAUUAUAUAUAUAGAUGAGGUUACGCGCCGCAAUAAUAUUAUAUACAUUGAUCGGGUUGCACGCCGCAACAAUAUUAUAUAUAUGGAUCGUGUUGUGCGAUGCAACAAUAUUAUAUACAUGGAUAGGGUUGCACGCCGCAACAAUAUUAUAUACAUGUAUCAGGUUGCAUACUGCAACGAUAUUAUAUAUAUGGAUCAGGUUGCACGCCGCAAAAAUAUUAUAUACGGAUCGGGUUGUGCGCCGCAACAAUAUUAUAUACAUGGAUCGGGUUGCAUGCCGUAAUAAUAUUAUAUACAUGGAUCGGGUUGCAUACUGUAACGAUAUUAUAUAUAUGGAUCAGGCUGCAUACCGCAACAAUAUUAUAUAUGGAUCGGGUUGCACGUCGCAACAAGAUAUAAUAAAAUGGGAGCGGGUGGUACGCCUACCACAAGAUAUAACGAAAAGGGAGCGAGUGUACGCCUACCACAAGAUGUGAAAUGAAAGUGAAAUCUGCCGUAUUUUCUUACUCUUGUUGGAGGUUGAAUUUUUAUUUCUUUAUAGUUCUUUUGAUAAUCUUUCUUACCUGUUAUUCCUCGAAGCAUGUUUUGCCCCUCCCAUAUUUACUUGUUUAUUUUUGCUGUAUAACAUAUAAUUGUACAGGUGUAUUUGGUAUUCUGGUCCUAGCCUUUGUCACUACUUCGCCGAGGUUAGGCUAGGCACUUGCCAUCACAUGGUGUCGGUUGUGUUGAUACUACACUCUGCAUUGUGUGCAGAUCAUGGAGUAGCUUUCGGACAGUAGUUGGAGUGCUUCCUUUAGUCCACUCGGAGGCCCAAGGUAUACUAGGGCUGCUUAUUGGGUGGAUUGGGCGGUUAUUUACUCUUAACGGUUUGGCUUAUCGGUAAUCGGCUUUAAAAUUCAUUAAUCUGCUAGUCACUCGAUAAGAUAUCGGAUAGAUUGGUAUUGGUUUAUCUCUUAUCGGACGGUUAUCGGGCGGCUUAUCAGCCUAAUUCAAUCUAUGUUGCAUGCAUUAAUUGUUUUGUUGCAAAUAGAAGAGGUUUAGCUUGGAACCUAUCGCACAUCGACUACGAGAUGUUAGACUAAGCUAGAUUUCUUAUAUUAUUGGGAUACAGACAAUGAACAAGCACUUGGAUCCAGGGAAAAGGAGCAGAGGAAAGGACAAAAAGCAAUAGGAAGUUAACGGAUAAAAAUAUAAAAACAACAAAAAAGAAAAAAGAACACAUUUAAGUAUGCUAAAAUUGGUCAAUAACAAAAAAUAUAUUAAGCACUUAAUUUGCUCUGAUAUACAAAUCCACUGGGGUUCGCAUUUACUACUGUAAAAUCUUCUUAUUUCUGCAAGCUUAAAAAAUGUACUUUCACAUAAAUAGUCCCUAUAUAUAGCUCUUUCUAGAUUGCACUAGUUGUCCAAAUAUAUAUAUAUAUAUAUAUAUAUAUAUAUAUAUAUAUAUACUUUACAGGUUAACGGAUUAUUCAUUAAGAAAACUGAAUAAUCCACCCCCAAACCGGUAAGCCGUUAAUAAAAAAAUUCAAUCUAUUCUCUGUCCGUUAAACCUUUAACUCGAUACCAACAAGCCAUUAAGCUUCAGUUUCGGUUUGGUUAUCGGUUUCGAUUCUAUUUUAAACACCCCUAAGGUAGACAUGCAGUCGUCCGCAGGCCCUAGCGUCUCCCUCUAUCUCUAUUUCAUAUUUCAUUUAAAUCUAUUCAGAAACAGUGUACUAUUAUUUCUUCAAACCUUGUGUGUAGUAAAUCUUAAAUAGUCUAUUACACUGUCACACCAGGUUUUGGGUAUUGAGGUUUUAAAAGUUGUAAUGGAUGUAGACUUCAGAUAUUAAAUUGUUAACUUCCGGUUAAUUAUAUAUGUUCUAUUUUUAUUAUGUUAUCGCCUUAUAUUUUUAAAAGGAGGUAAUAUGAAAAUGAAGUAAGUAGUAAGGUUUGGCUUUCAUUUUUAUUAUGUUAUCCCCUUAUGUUUGUUAAAAGAAGGUAAUAUGAAAAUGAAGUAAGUAGUAAGGUUUGGCUUGCCUAGCUCUCAUUUUUAGGCGCCAUCACGACUCCCGAGGAUAGAAAAUCCGGGUUGUGGCAUUUAGCAACUCAUGAUAAUAGCAAAUAAUUUCAUAAAUGUUGGAUAACUGAAAAUACUAAGAAAAAAUGAAGAAAACUGAGAUAUCUUUGCUCCCGAAUGUCUCUCGUGUGUGUUUUCAAUUCAAAGUGGCAUCUCCCCUCUAAAAAUAAGCUUAAUAUUGCUUUUAUAUGUGUUGGGUAGGCGUAGGACCGAAAUAACCUUGUCCCAGGCAAAGUUUGACAGAAAUUCUGUCACCAACAUCCAGCCUAGUGCUAGGCGUCGUCCCUGGCGCUGGUAAAUUAUACUCACUGUCUGGUGUGCCACAGGUAGUUUCUGGCGCUGAAAUCUCCAUUUCCCUUUUUACGUCUGUUUUGGCUCUAAUCUCGCACCUUUAGUCCUCAAUUGCCUGCGGAAUGAUUUCUACACAUAAAAAUACCUCGAAUUAAUAUAACUCAACAAAUGUUACAUUCUUAAUGCAUGAAAAAAGAGUAAAACAUGAGGCGAUAUAUAUAUAUAUAUAUAUAUAUAUAUAUAUACACUUUAAUCUUAUCAUGAACACCCCACACUUAGACUUUUGCUCGUCCUCGAGCAAUGGGACAGUCUAACAAACCCCCAACUAUGUACAAAGUUCAAUCUUAAAGGAGCACCUUAACUUUUAACCACACACUAUACCCUUGACUACGAUCAAUACCGGCACACAACCACGAACACACUAAAAUUCACAUUCUUCCCGUUGAAGAAUACCCAAGUAUAAUAUUUCAAUUUAAUAAAUUCCAACAACCUAUUCGUCACCACCCUCAAAAGUCGACUUGCAACAAAGCAACAGGACACUCAAAUAUACCCCCAACUACGUACAAAUAUCAACUAUAGAGGAGCACUUCAAAUUUUAACAAUACACUCUACCCUUUACUAUGAUCAAUAUAAGCAAUCAAGUAUGAACAUACAAAAUAUCACAUUCUUCCUGUUUUACUCAUGCCCAAGUAUAACAUUUCAAUUCAAUCAAUUUCAACAACCUAUUUUUAACUGCCCAACCUAAAAAAUCGACUUGUUACCAAUAAGCACCCUCAACUCGCACACUCACCCAUCAAGAAAAGUUUACAAUAUUACUGAUCUUUCAUGAGAUCAUGUGCCCUUACCAACAAACAAAAGAGUGAAUAUAGAUUACUCCACACAUUCAAAGAUGCUUUUGAUAUAAAUUAAAGACAUCAUACAAUUGAACAAAAUUCACUCACUCUCACAAAGAAUUCAUAUGCAUCUCAUGGUCGUACCAUAAGCUUGCCUGUAGUGUACAUCUCUACUAAUCUAUGCUAGCCAUACCUAGGAUUAAUUAUGACCUUGAGGUUGUAAUAUAGGCUAAGAGAUGGGAGUGACUAACCCUCCUAAGUACUAUAAUACACUACGCUCACAAUUCGAACACAUAUUCUUCUCAACUAAUUCAUUUGCCGCAAACCAUGUGCAAUAUAGUCCUUACUCUCAUUGAGCACUACUAAACUCCCACUAGAAAAAUUUAAUAAGAUAUGGAGGUGUGUAUUUUUCUACAUACAUUGACUAUCAUUUUUUUUUCUCCUUUUUUUGUAGUUUUCUUUUUAUUUCUCUUUUUUUCUUUUCUUCACACACUCAAUACAUUAAUGUUCAUUGGCUUGUGAAUUUUGAUUUCAACUCUAGUGCACCAAAGGGCCCUUUCAUGGCUCCAUUCGAAAGCUACUCCCCAAUCUCUUACCUUACUUCUUUUUUUGCGACUAAGUGCCUUAGGAGGUAAAGGUUCAACAAUCAUAAAUUAAUAAUAAAAUAGGGGUACAACUUGUAAUGUGGGUGCCAAAAGAAAGGUCUAUAGUCUCAAGGAGGCUAGUAAUAGAAAAUUUUAUUUUAAUUUGAAAAGGACAUAUAUGAUCAAGUAAUAAAUGCCUACAUCAUAUCCUAGAUUAGAACAACUUAACAAUUUCACUUCAAUCAACAUACAGGGCAAGUUCCAGACUACACAGGAUAGUACAGAUGAUCACAACUCCUCACACACACACACACACACAUUUUACAUGACUCAAUCACGAUUGCUCUAUUUAACUCUAAAGUCAAGCAAGCACACACAAUUUAAGCAAUAAUGCACUAUGUGGCAUACAAGUCAAACAACUAAGAAAAAAUGUUACAAAUAGGAUAUUUACUUUACUUAGAUGUUACAAUACAAAUCAAAUUUACGAGAAGACAUGAUGUAUUUCAUAGCCUAAUGUGCCAGCACCAAACACGUCAAUAGGUAACUCAGAGAAACUCAGUUUCUUCCUAACCUACUACUAAAGAAAAUAAAGUACCCAAUUCAUGCUACUCCCUUAGAAAAGAACUGACACCCAAAGAAAAACCAAAGGAUACUACCUAACCAUCCUAAAAAAAUUGAUAUUUUAGUCGGACUUUAUCCCUCAAGAAAAUUGUCCAAAAGAUCCAUCAUCGAGAAAAGUUUAAGCUUUUUCUAUUUUUUUUUCUUUUUGUAUUCAUAUAUAUACAUUUUAUUUUCUUUUUUAAAACAAACUAGACUAAGUAAAACAAACAAAGUGAUACAAUUUAUACAAGUACAUCACAAGUAGUAUUCCUCCUACCCCACACUUAUAUUAUGCAUAGUCCUCGAUGCAUAUAAAAAUGUAAAACAGAGUAGGGUGAAAAGAGAACUCCUUGUCAGUCGGAGUCCUCCUCUUCAGCAUGUCCUCAAUCCGCAGCUUUAUCCAUAUCUCAUCAGGUCUUAGAGGCACCAAAGCCAGGGGCCUCGUAACAUCAUCACCAACCUCGUCCUCUGUGUCUAAGCCCUUGAUCAUGUUUGCGUCCUUUGACGAGUGAAUGAGGCUGCCAGGUGCAAUCCCCAACAUCUCCUUGGAGGAGCUUGACAAGUCAUUUCGCAAAUGCAUACGCUCCUUAUCUAAAAUACCAACCCUGCUCAUGAGUAAAUUUGAAGAGUUAUAGAGGAACCUGUUAAAGUUUUAAUCUUUUUCAUUCUGUGAUGCCUGAGUGAGAUUAGACAACGUCUCCAAUAAGGAUGUUAUGUACAACAUCCCUGUAGGAGCCUCCAUCGCUUCAUCAUACCCUGGGUACUCCGGCACCUCUCGGGAGAUCAUAUAUUGAUUGAGCAAAUUACCAAAGAAGAACCCUAUUAAUGUGUCGCCCAUAUCGCGUGCGAGCCAUCUCACCGAGCAUGAUCUCACCCACGUUAAUGGGUCUACCAGUCACCAGAAAGAAUAUGACACAUACUCUAGCUUGAUUUCAGUCGCUGCUGUGCUUCACAUGCAUGAGUAUUGCUUGCACAAAAUUUUGCCAUAUUUUGAUGGUCUUGUUGAAAUCAGAGUGAACUAUCAAAAGGUGAAUAUCACCUUGCUUUCUGGUCCACUUAGCAUUGGAAUUUGCACCACAAAGAGUGUGGUGUAUCCUUGUAUAGUUUGGGAUUCAGACAAAUUCAUGGAGCCUCAUCGGGUCAGCAUUCUCAACCCCCAAAAAUGCACAUAAGGACAACCGAUCCAGUGCACGUCUUUCCCAUGUACAUGUGACCUGAACAAGUUUGUAUCCUAAUUAGCAUAUAGUUCCCGAACAAUGCUCAAAUUUUGUUGCCCGGGGCUUCUUUGAGUUUGUCCAUGUUUAUUACGCGUAACUGGCCAAGGACAUCCAGGAAGUUUCGCUCUAAAGCUUUAUCAUUUAUCCCCAUCUCAGAGGUAUACCAUCCAUAUGGCAUGAAAUUCUUAUGCCAUGCAAUAGCCACAUUAGAGACUAGUUUCUUGAAUAGGUGUUAAAUGGUUGGACCGGGUCGGGCUGGGUUGCUAUUUUUUGGACCCGUAGGGGUUAUGGUCCGGGACGGUUACGGGUUAGGGCUUAAUAGGUUUAAUGGAUACAGUUUCAUCUGGGUAAAUAUUGAACCGUAAGGGUUGCAGGUUAAAGCGGCCGGGUUGGGCAGCAGUUUAGUGUAUUUUAAAUUUUUUUUGUAUUUUGUAUAACUAUUGUAAGUUGUAUUAAUACUUUGUAUUAGUUUAAAGAUUACAAGUUAUAUUAAUACUUUGUAUUAAUAUAAUUGCAACUGCUACAUUUAUUUCAAAAUUCAAAAUUAAAGUUUGCAUUAAAAAGUAAAUUAACAAAAAAAUAGUAAAACUAAAUUUUCAUGCAUAAUAAAUUAAUAAUACUUCAAAUUAAUUGUUAAUCUAACAAACUAAAAAAUUAAGCAUAAAUACGUCUAAUAAUUUCAAAUUAACAUAAAUUAUCUUAAAAUCUUAAAUACAAAUUUCCGGAAGACGCUCAAGACAAUACUUUAUAUGCCUCCUUAAACUGGUUGUGCCAUACUCUAAACAAAAAUUUAAGACUUGACCACAGUUGUUGCACUUUACUUUCUGAUCUUCUUCAUUUUCUUCUACUACCUCAAAGUGUUCAAAUACAUAUGAGCGCACUCUAGAAGUACGAGGCAUGAUUUAACUUGAAUUUAGAUUUGAGAAUUGAGAAUUUGAGAAAGAGACUUGAAAUCUUGAAAAUUAGAAAAUGAGAGAAUGAGAGAAAUUGAGAUAGAAAAAUGAGUAUUGAGUGAAGAAAUGAAGAAGAGGCGCAGUAUUUACAGUUUUAGAGAAGGUUAGUUUUGUAAAUUGAAAAAGGAUUAAAAAUUAUAAAAAAAAAAGCUAUUUAUGCAAUAUUUCCGUUGGCCAACAGACCAAAUCAAGGUCUGACCGCUGCCAACGGUCAGUGAGGCCCACAAGUUUUGAAAACUAAAAAAAACAAAACCGGGCCGGUUAACCUGGUAAGAGUUAUUGUUCACUCUUCCGGGUUCAACCGGGGCGGUUACCCAUUUUCAAAAAAAUAAAUGGACAACCCCCCUUAACCCCCUACGCAGCCCAGCCCAGCCCCCUCUAAUCAGUCCGAGCCGGUUUCAGGUUCAAUCUAUCUGGGUCAAUCUGGAACCGGGUCAACCCGGCCUGUUAAACACCCAUAGUUUCUAGGAGGCCUUGAUUGCAAUGGUGCCUGCUGUGAUCCCUCAGCAGCCUAUUUCCCUUUAGCUUGUCGCGAGGAACCUUCUCCCUGCUUGCGCUUUUUGGGUGUGAGGGUUGUGGUGGAGGACUUUCCUAUUCCCUUGCCUUUGCUUUCACUAUCACGAGCCAUAAUAACCUGCAACACGAAUAAGCACAAAUGUAAGAACUUAUAAGGAAAAUAUGCCUAAGGUUAUCGUGCGAGUCAAAAAUGACCGCACACUUAAAAUCGAAAGCGCAAUGUACAAUACUUCAUACUUUUUAUCUAAAAUGUACAAGUUUUGCACUCCAUAACUAUAGACACUCAAGACUUCCAUAUGCCAUACAAUAGAAAAAUGGCACUUAUUAAUGCCAGGCAUACAAGUGAUUGAUCAUGGCUUAGUGAAUUCACCUUAAUGCAAGCAAGUGACAUAUGUUACUUUAAUUUCUACAAGUACACCAAAUUAGCUAACUCUACAACAUUUUACGACAUAUUAUAUAUGAAAUAUGGGUGUGGCAAUAUGUGUGCAUCAAAACUAAGCUUCCAAGCAUGUAAAAUCAUCCCUACAUACCUCACACUUAGCCCAAAUUCAUAUACAAAUACACUCGAUUACUCUAACUUUACCGGUGCGCGAAAUCUUCAUUCAAAUAUUUUAACAAAUACCUUAUCGGCAUAAAGUGUGUGCUUUCUAGUGUAACAAUGGUGGAACACGGUGGCUCUCCCAAAUUUCAAAGAAGUAGACGGAAUUCUAGUUUACUACUCCGUAUACAAUACAAUCACAACCAUUUUCUACCAAUAACUAGACCACCCACCAUACAAGAUUGUUGAGAAACUACAUUUUAAGGAUUAGGGCAAUUGGGGAAAUGGGAAUUUCAUAGUUAUUUACCUAUUAGAAUACAAAAAAAGAGGAAGAAGAAGAUAAAGAAGAACAUACUUGUAGAUUUUAGGAUGAGAGCAAGGGAGGAGCUUGAGAAAAUUUUUGAGACAGGAGGAAGAAACUCGGCAGAAGCGUGGCAUUAGCAUGAGAGAGAGAGAGAGAGAGAGAGAGAGAGAGAGAGAGAGAGAAAGAUGGAGGAAAUUCGGUGUUUUAUGAGGAGGAAUUUUAUGUAUAAUUUGUUUUGUGGGUCGGUAUGGGUAUUAAGAUGGGUUAUAAUAUUAUUGUAUAUGGGUAUAUGGGUUGGGUUUUGUGGUUAUGGGUUAAAUAGAAUAUAUAAUUUACAAAACAGAAAAAGAAGAAAAAAAAAUAUUUGGUCACUGAUCGGUUCCAAGAUUGUAGCACUAUCGAGUGGCAAGGAUGGUCGAUGUAGUUUUAUCCAACAAAGAUCAGGAUCGAUUUCUACAUGGAGUUAGUUGAUUUGGAGUUGGGUAUCGAACUGAUCUAGAUGUGUGUGUUGUUCCAAAUUGCACCUCCAGACAUGGUCAUGAUUGAUUAUAUUUCUAGUAUUAUACUAUGCUAUGCUAGAAUAGGCUAAGUAAACUAUUUUUGUUGGUUGUUUUCAAGGAUUAAAAGGGACUAGGGAAGUGACUUCCGCCUAGGUGGAUAUCUAACGGGUAUCGAGAAUUCAGGGAAAGAUUUUUAUGAUUGGGGUCGUGAUAUAACCAUCACACAUAAGUGCUCACUCUAUACCUCUUGGUAGUUUGAGUGACUUUACCCGAUUUGGCUUUCUCAAGUCCAAACGGGUGUUCAUGCAUAACAAAUGAUAUUGGCUCAAGUCGAGUAUUACUAUCACUAGGUUUAACCCUUUAAUUAGGUAUAUCAAUCUCUUGAAUUCGCCUCAAUUCCUUCUUAUCCUAAUUUUCCUAGACUUAGUCCCUCUUUCUCAAGAAGAUUCUAAGUCAUCAACGCACAAGUCAGUGUUUGCAACCACCAAUUCUACAAUUAAAGCAUGAAUUUAGCUAAAUAUCACAAACCCAUAAACAAUUAAGCCCUAAAAUUGAAGAACCAUACAAAUACUCACACUAGAGUUGGAUCGCAACCCUAUAUAUGGGGUUUAGCUAUUGAUAAUAAUAGUAGAAAUAUAAAAUGAAGAUAAAAUAUAAACCAUGAUAUUCAAAUAAAAGAUAAAAAUCUAAAGAUUGAAGAUAAAUCUACUCUAAGAUUACUUAAAAAGGUAAAAACCAGCCGUUCACGUGCUCAACAAAAUAUUACAUAACCUAAAAAUGUGAAAAUAUCUAUUUAUGCUAGGCUAAAGUUCCCAAACAAAAAUGACCCUGCGGAGGUUUUUUAGAUGCGUAAUUCUGACCGCGUCCGUGCUUGAGCUAUCGUGGUUGUGUAAUAAUGAUUGCAAUCUGUGUUUCUCCAUAUUCGAAUCGCAUCCGCAUAAUUUAAACACAGACUGCAUCCUUCAAUCAUACUUAACUUGCAAGGCCUCUGAACGUCAAAGUAUGCUCUCAGCAAAAAUACCAUCGUGGCCGUGCCAGAUAUUCCGCAACCGCGCUUUUCCAUUGCUGUCAGCGGUCAAUGUUAUGCCCAAAAUAGCCUCUCUGAAUCUCAUUUUUGCGACUGCGUAUUUGUGGCUGCCUCAGUGAUCGUUCUUAUGUGGCCGCUCUACUCUACCGCUGUCAGCGCUCUAGCCUGGAUUUGUGCAAGUUUGACUCCUUCCUUAGUUGAUUAUGGCAUUUUUUUAUCUCAUUUUGACCAAACCCUGCAAGCAAGCACAUUAAGUCAGUUUUUGGGAAUACCUUUACGCAUUUUCGACCCAAAACCUAAACAAAAAGAGCACAUAAUAGGUUAAAAUCCAUAGUUAUCAGUCACCCUCCAACCCAGCGCUCCGUGCUAUGCUUGGCACUAGGGUUUUGAACACUAAUUUCAGCGCCCCAAGCAUCGUGAGGUGCUAGCCUUGGCGCUGUUUUUGCAAUUCUUCUUUUUUUUUUUUUUCCUUUUUAAAAAAAUAUAAAUUCCCAAUCCCCCGAGCCUUUUUAUAUAUCUAAAUUACAUGUCCCAUACCAUUCUACCUAUAAUUUUUAUAUCUACAAAGAAAAUUGCAAAAUUUAGUCUACUCUAAUUAAAAACAAUUAGAAAGCUAAACUAUGAAAAAAACUAAAAACUAGGUUGCCUCCAAGCAAGCUCUUGAUUUAAUAUCACGGCACGACACGUUGUCUCGCUUAUUCAUCAACGAGUACAACCUUGAUCUUCUCACAAUCAAUUAUUCCUUCCCAAUAAUUCUUGACUCUAUGUCCAUUCAACGAAAAAUUUCUUUCACCAUUUAAUGAUCGCAACUCAAUUGCACAAUAAGAGUGACUCUCUCCAUCUCAAAGGAGCCUGACCAUCUCAAUUUUAACUUCCUAGGAAAUAGCCUUAGCCUAGAAUUGAACAAUAAUACCUGUUGUCGUGGCUCGAAGUGACGCGGCUUGGGAUGUUUGUCAUGCCAUCCUUUUGUCUUCUCUUUGUAAUGCUUAGCAUUUUCAUAAGAGUGCAUCCCAAAUCUAUCUAAUUUAUCAAACUGCAAGAGUCUUUUCUCUCCCGCGGCUUCAAGGUCCAUAUUCAGCUUUUUAAUGGCCCAAUACGCUUUGUGUUCAAGUUCAAGAAGAAAGUGACAUGCCUUCUCAUAAACAAGCUUACAAGGCGACACCCCAAUUUGGCGUUUUGUCUGCAUUUCUAUAUGCCCACAAGGCAUCAUCCAACUUUACAGCCUAAUCCUUUCUAUUCACACUCACCGUCUAAUCUAUGAUUUGCUUUAUUUCUCUGUUCGAUACCUCAGCUUUUCCACUUGUUUGAGGAUGAUAUGAUGUCGCAACUCUAUGGAGGACUUCAUAUUUAAAUAGAAGAUUAUUCAAUAAUCGAUUGCAAAAGUGUGUCCCUUCCUCACUUAUCAAGCAUGCGGAAUCUCGAAAAUAUUUUCUUUUUUCACAAACGCGACUACCACCAUUGCAUCAUUUGUUGGCAAUGAGAUCGCCUCUACCCUUUUUGACACAUAGUCAACUGCUAGCAAAAUGUAUUUGUUUCUCUAAAACCCUCAUUUUUAUCUCACCUCGAUUUGCAUGCACAGUCUGGGCAUGUAGCCGGAAAGCCAAUAUAUGAAAAAUGAUGAAUUUUGACAUUAAAAUGAAUUCAUUAAUUUCGGUCAACAUUUUGGGUAAAUGGAUGUGGGCCUAUAAUUUGAUGACCGUACGAAAAUAUGGGACUUGGGUGCAUUUCCGGAAUUGAAUACUAAGCUCCCAAGCUCGAGAAAUGAAUUUUUAAAGAAAAUUACUUUUUGGAAUAUUUAUGAGUUUUUGAAAGUGAAAUAAGCUUAAAGUUUGAUGGUAUCGGGCCCGUAUCUUGAUUCCGGAGCCAAGUAUAGGUCUUAUAUAUGAUCUGAGUCGAACCUAUAAAAUUUGAUAAGAAACAGCCUUGAAAUGACUUGAAUCGAACCAUGUUUGAAAAAAUUGGAAAUAUUGAAGUUCUUAAGAAAUUUCAUGAUUUUGAUGCUAAAUUCAUAGUUAUUGAUGUUAUUUUGGUGAUUUGAAUGCACGAGCGAGUUCGUAUAAUGUUUUUAGGUUGGUGUGUAUAUUCGGUUUGGAGCCCCGAGGGAUCGGGUAAGUUUCGGAUAGGCCACGAAGUGGAAUUAGACUUGGGAAAUUUGCAGACUUCAGUUGUUAUAUUGCAAGCUUGCAGGCUUUGCAUUUGCGAAGCCAGGCUCGCAAAUGCGAGUUCACAAAUGCAAAGGCAAUGUCGCAAAUACGAACAUAGCCCAAGCCAUCCUAUCUCGAAAAUGCGAGGAAUUUAUAGCAAAUGCGAUGCCCCCAACUGCUGCCUUAGUCACAAAUGCGACUUCGCAUUUGCGAGAGAUCUAUCACAAAUGCAAAGAAGACCGAAAAACUGACUUGGUCCCAAAUGCGACAUUUUGUUCGCAAAUGCGAACUUCUCAGAAUUCUAAAGGGUUCGAAAUUGCGAACCCUAGUCACAAUUGUAAUAUCAGAGACCUAUAAAUUCAUACUUAGACGCAUUUUCAACCAUUUUACAUAUCUCUUCAAAACCAAAACACUCUAGGGUGAUUUUUCAAAUCCAAUCGAUUUUAAGUUAUUUCUAACUCGUUUUCUUCAAUCUUUAACAUCUUUUCACAAAAUUUCAACUCAAAUCAAAGGUUUUCAUGGGGAAAAUUGGGUAUUUUGGGUAGAACCUAGGUUUUUUUUUCAAAUUUUGGGGAUUUGGACGUCGAUUUGAGGUCCGAUUUCAAAAUAAAUAAUAUAUUUGAGUUCAUGAGUGAAUGUGUAUUCAGGUUUUGGUCAGAACCUCGGGUUUUGACCAUAUGGGCCUGGGGUCAAUUUUUGAAUUUUUGGGUAAAACUUUGAAAAUUUUAUUUUCAUGCAUUAUAAUUGAUUCAUUUAGCAUUUAUUGAUGGAACUAAGUAACUUGCGGCUAGACACGAGCGAAUUGGUGGUGUAAUCAAGAGGUAAGCGGUAAUUAAGACUUGAAUUAUGUUCGUAGCAUCGAGGUAAGUGUUUGGUCUAACCUUAGCUUGAGUGAUUAGGAGUCGAGUCUUAUUUGCUACGUGGUAUUUAUUGAGUAUGACAUAUAGGCAUGGUGAUGAGUAUUUGUACGUUGGUGUCAAGCAUGCCCAUGAAUCUUAUAUUGUGAUUAUUAUGACUUCGUUGUAUUAUUCAUGCUUUGGUGAUGAUUUUUAUUGUUGGGCAAAGUUUGUGGAAGUAAUUGUGGCAUUUGAACAUUGAGGAGCGUCGACUCAAGUUGUAUAAUGAAAUGUGAAAGUAUAAGUGGUAAUUGAACCUUUUAAGGCAUUGGCUCAAGUUGUGAAGUAAAAGUGAGAAAGAGAAGAGAAUCAUUACGUGGCCUCCUUUGCCUGGAUAUUGUUGCUUUUAAUGUUAUCUUGUCGGGAUGUUGAUGUUUUUGAUGUUGUUCCCUUGCCGAGACUUGAUUUUAGAACUAUUGUUCCCUUGUCGGAAUUUUUAUUGUAAUCUUAUUUAUUUCCUUGCCCUAUUGCUUGUGAUUAUUGUUUGGGUGGGUAAGAGUGUUAAAUCAAGAAGGGUAAUGUCGUGCAUUAUUUUUGUAAGAGAGUGUUAAAGCACGAAGGAUGAUGUCGUGCCGCACGAUGUACUAUCUGUGCCUUUAUAUGAGUGAUAAUGCAAUAAUUAUGUGAGUUAAAAGCACGAAGGGUGAUGCCGGUGCCAUUUACAUUGAUUUUAUGGUGAGGAAGAGAGUAAAAGCAUAAAUGAUGAUGUUGUACACUUGUCCCUGAUAUUCCUGGUUCUUGCUGAAAAUUUAGUUAUAGUGUCCUUUAUGUUUAUUUACUGAUUUUCUUUUAUAACUUGACUUAAUUGUUAUUUAACAAGUGCUUGAAGAUUAUUUAUAUCAUUUGCUUCCCUCAACCUCCAAUGAAAUAUUCUCUCAAGUUUGGGUCAAAGCCUUAAAGUUUGUCUUGUCUUCUGACCUUGCGCAUUCAAUUAAAGUUCAUGAGAUCAGAGCAACAAUAAAGUAAUGUUAACUUGGCGAAAUAAACAAUUAUAGCAAAAACUAGAGAGUAAUCAAUAUUCAAGUCCCCUGCAACGACGCUAAAAAUUUAUUGCUCCCAAGCACACACGCAAAUAUAUGUGGCCGUAUAAGUAAUAAAAUGAUAAAUCGAGUGUCGAACCUAUAAUGACUUGUAUGAACUACCUACUAAAUUUACCAAGAUUGUUAUUCAGUCGAGCCAAAUUCAAGUCAAGAAUGUGAUUAUACUAAAUUAUAAUUCUAUGUAGUUACUACUUAUCAAACAAUAAAAUAAUUAUUCUACAUCAGUACAUACAAAUAUUUCAGGGUUGUGAUCGAUUCACCAAUCCUAUAUUGUUCUAGUUAACUCUCUCUCUCAUAUAAUUCACUCAUGGUUGCUAAUUAAUUGAUAAUUUCUCUCAUAGCCUUCUCCCGAAGUACUACUCGUCUAUUCAAAAUAAAUUAACGCAUAUAUUCCUAUAGAAUCAAUCAAUAAGAUUACGAUAUUUAAUUAAGCGCGGCGACUAAGUAUAUUCCUAUCCUAACCACAAAUCCGUCAUCCUCAGAGUUAAGAUCAUGGUCUCUUCUAUUGUUCUAUAAUCUAAAUAUGGCUUUCCCAAGCAUAGCAUAGAUAGUAAACAAAACCUAACUGUUGGCCAGCCAAAUAAGCAAUUAAUCAUAGAAUUGAAGAAACAAACAUAUAUUAAUAAAUAAUAAUCAAGGUUAAAUUAAUGUUAAACAGCAAUAUUCAUGGCUAAAUCACAACUCCACAACUAUGAGUUUUAACCACUAUUAAUAAUAGCAAACAAUUUCAUCAAUGUUGGAUAAUUGAAAAUAUUAAGAAAAGAGGAAGAAAACUGAGAUCUCUUCGCUCCCUAAUGUUUCUCGUGUGUGUUAUCAAUUCAAAGUGGUGUCUCCCCUCUAAAAAUAAGAUUAAUCUUGCUUUUAUACGUGUUGGGUAGAUCUAGGGCCGAAAUAACCUUGUCCUGUGCAAAGUUCGACAUAAAUCUCGUCAUCAGCGUCUAGCCUAGUGCUAGGCGUCAUCCCUUGCGAUGGUAAAUUGUACUCACUGUCUGGUGCGCUACAUAUAGCGUGGGGCGGUGCUUGUGACACUGAAAAUCUCUCUUUCCCUUAUUUCAUCCGUUUUGGCUCUAAUCUCGCACAUUUCACCUCCAAUUGCUUGCGGAUGAUUCCUACACAUAAAAAUACCUUAAAUUAAUAUAAAUCAACACAUUUUCAUCCUAAAUUCAUAAAACAAGAAUAAAGCAUAAGGCGAUAUAUAUAUAUAUAUAUAUAUAUUAAGCUAUACAUCAUGUAUCUAUGAUACAAUGAUGUAGUGAUGCAAGUAGCGCAACCCCUCCCCCAACCCCCAACUCACUCACACAACCAAUAAAAAGCACUUAUUUUCAUUUAUAGACCCCUAUUUUCUAACGAAAUACUCGUACGGAACAAAUACCUCGCGAAUAGGCUGAUUAGCCAUUUCAUAAACUAAUUAAUGGGAAGUCUUUUCCUUAAAAGUUGAAAAUAAAACCUUAAAUCACGCAAUUCAAAGAAAGUAAUAGCUGAAAUGAAGGUUUCUGAAUCAUUUCUACAAAAGGAAAAACAUCAUUAGCAUUUAAGUCCUAAAUCAUCAUUAAUUAGACAAGAUUCUUCACGGAUAAUAAUAUUACCCUUUUAGAUAAUAAAGUAUUACGAAUAAAAAAAUAAAACAUUUUAUUGUAUAAUAUAAAUCAUACUAAAAGACUACAUAAUAAAUUCCAAGUAAAUCAUCUCACUUUCUUCAACAAAUAUUAACAUUUUUUAGAAAAUAAAGUCAUUUAUAUUAUUAAACUUUGUAUCGAUCAAUCUUCCUAAUAAAUUAUUUAGGAAAAUAAACAUAAAAAAACUCGUUUAUUUAACAUGUGGCUACUGUAAUAAGAAAAAAAAAUAAGACGUUACAGUUUGAACCUUGGUGUUAUAAGUUCUAAUUUCAGUAACCUCCUAAGUCUUAACAUCUGUUGUCUAAUAAGUCUCUCUUUUCCUUGAUUAAAGUUGUAAAAAUAAGAAAUAUUUUUAAAUCUUCAUUGGUUGGCAAUUUUUCUAGAUUAGGUAAAUCCAAGUAGGUUCAAGAAAACUUCAGCUGUUAAACAUAUAAUUAGUUAAAUAAAAGUCAAGUUCUUUUAAGAUUUAGGGCCUGUUUGACAUAAUUUUUUUUACUUUUUCGGAAUUAGUAUUUAUUCAUGAAAAUUUCAACUUUCACUUGAAGUUGAAUUUUAUAAAUUUUUUUUACUUCAAAAACUUAUUUUUUUUAAAAUUUUCACGUCAAAUUAUUCAUAAAACUAAAAAACAACUCCAAAAUGUUUCAUGAUUUCUUUUUCUUUUUCAGGAAUUUCAUAAUUCUUACGUCCAAAGACUCACUCAGGAGUCGUUUGGCUGAAAAGAAGUUAUUCGAGAUUAAUUAUCAUGGGAUUAACUAUUUUAUCUUUUUAUGAGGAUAAAAAAAUAUUACAAUUCUGAGAUAAUUAAUUUCGAAAUUAAUUUUAAUAUAAUUUUCUCCCAACCAAAUAUGAUAACUCUUAUUAAAUUUAAUUUCGGAGUUAAUUAUUCCUUAUCUCUCAUAUCAAACGAGCCCUUAAUAUCGAAAAUGGAAUGCUAAGAUUUCUUGAGUGUGAAUAGUGUAGAUAGAGAUGAGUCACAUGUGAUUAUUUCCUUAAAAGUCUGCAAGCUCAGUUCCAAAUAAGCAUGCUUCUUGUUCAGUAAAGUUGAAAAAAAAGCUACACAGAAGACUAUAAACAAAACUAUACUAUAUAUAUUCACUUAACUGGCAAACUACAUAAAACGAUAUAGCUUUAUGUCCAUAUAUAAACAUAGCCAAAAAUAUCAUUAUUUUAUUACUACCAAUGUCUUUUUGUGAGAAGAAAAAGCAAAAGACAAACACAGGGAAGAGAGAGUAUAAUAUAUGAUGAAAAAGUUAAAGUUUUGAUUGGUUUUGUGUUUGUGUAUUAUUUGGUGUAUUGAAUUUGUUUAGUUAAAAAAAUUCAGUCUGUUUAGACCAUCACUAUCAAUUUAUUUUACAGCUUUACUUAUUACAACUCCAUAAGUUUCAAUCUUUGUCUCUUUAAUUGAUCUUUUCUUCAGUUAUUUGAAUUAGUCAAGCUGUUAACGUUUUUGGGUUUUCAAGAAAGAUUUAAGAAAGUGACCCUUUUUAUGUUUUUAUGCUAAAGUUUUAAUCUUUUUCUCAAGAUUCAGUUUAAGUGAUCUUUUUUAGCUUUUGGGUGUUUUUCAAUUUGUGGUUUAGUGAUAACUGUGGAGGAAAUUAGAGGAAAUAUACUAAAGUUUUAAUCUUUUAUGGUAAAGUUUUAAUCUUUUUUCAAGAUUCAGUUUAAGUACUCUUCUGGGUGUUUUUCAAUUUGUGGUUUUAGAUAUUACUGUGGAGGAAAUAUGCUAAAGUUUUAAUCUUUUUAUGGUUUUUUGGUAAAGUUUUUAAUCUUUUUUCAAGAUUCAGUUUAAGUGAUCUUUUUUCUCAUUUCGGUAUUUUUAAAUUUGUGGUUUCAAAGAUGACUGUGGAGGAAAGGGAGAAUUAUGAUAAUUUUCCUAUUGGUAUGAGAGUUCUUGCUGUUGAUGAUGACCCAAUUUGUUUGAAGUUAUUGGAUGGAUUGCUUAGGAAAUGCCAAUAUCAUGGUAUGUUUCUUCUAUGGUUUUUGCUUAAUUCUUUUGGUGUCUUAAAUAUUUUCAUUUUGGGGUUUUAAUUUGGAGUUCUUGGAAAUUUUGUGAAUUGAUCUGUAAUUUGAGGUUUAAUUCCAUAUUCUGCUGUUUGAGAAGUUGUUUUCUGUUCCAUUUUUUUUAAUAACUGUGUUCUGAUUAAGACUUCCAAAAGGAGUAGUUUAGAUCUUUUUAUGUAGUAAAGGAGCAGUUUAGAUUUUAACUCUAAGAAAAAGCUUUUCAAUUAUUUUUCAUAGUUCCAAGACUUUGUCAUGUUUUUCAGUUGCUGUUAGUUGACACUUUGCUUUUUUUCCUGGUCAUGCAUGGUUCAUUUUUCUUAUGGAUUAGAUUGUGGCUUUUCAACAAUGAAAGUCAACUAGAAAAAGAGUAAUUUUGGAUUUCUUAUGAUUUUAUUUUAGGCUUUUUUUAAAAAAUAGUUCUAGUACUAUGUAACUGUUAAUAAUAAAGUCCAAAUUCUCCAUUUUGUACUCUCUCAUUCUGAGUUCAAGUUAUCGAUAUGGUUCCCACGAACAUAUGAGAUUUUGAUCUUUCAAUUUGUCCUAUGCAUAGUUUGAAUUGAAGCCUAGUUUUCUAAGAUGUUCAUUGGAGUUCAACUAAGCUCAUGACUCAUUUACCACUGUAAAUUUAUUGGGAGAUUUGAAUUAUUUGGUCUGUCGUUUGGAACUUCCAAGAACUGAUUUUCUCUAAGAUGUUCUUUGGUUCUUCCGCAGAGAAAUCUUAAGUUACAUUGCGAAUUUUCUGAAUAUGAUCUGUUGUGUCACAGUAACUACGACAAGUCAGGCAAGAACGGCCUUGAAAAUGUUGAGGGAAAACCGAGACAGAUUUGACCUGGUAAUCAGUGAUGUCCACAUGCCUGAUAUGGACGGCUUUAAACUUCUGGAGCUUGUUGGUCUUGAGAUGGAUCUUCCCGUCAUAAGUAAGUACAGUCAAACCUUUAUAUAAUAACUUCUCUUGUUCUCACGUUUUCCAUAGUGAAUGACUAAUAUACCUAUAGUAACAUUUGACGUUUAGAUCUUAUUUGGCUGUUACAGAGAGGCAAAAUAUAACAUUACAAGUCGGUUCCGAGAAAAGCUUGAUGUUGUUAUAGAGUGGUCUAACUGUAUAAAUCCCUUCAUUUUUCUUACUUGUUGAUCCAUCCUUGAUGUUCUUUCCGCUGGCUUCCGGUAGAUAAAAUAUUCUUGCAUCAAGCUUUGAAUAUCUUUCCGUUUACUUAUGUUGAACUAUUUUGUCCAGUGUUAUCAGCAAACAGUGAUAGCAGACUUGUAAUGAAAGGGAUAACUCACGGUGCUUGUGACUAUUUGGUGAAACCUGUCCGGCUUGAGGAGCUGAAGAAUAUAUGGCAACAUGUAAUAAGAAAAAAGAAAGUUGAACCUAAGAACCACAUCAAGUCUGAUGAUCAAGACAAGGCAAAUCAGGGAGGUGGAGAAGGUGGCAGAGGACCACAGCUUUCAGGUAAUGCAGAUCAAAACGAGAAGCUUAACAAGAAAAGGAAAGAUGAAGAAUACGAAAGCGAUGAAAAUGGAAAUGAAGAUGACGAUCCAACAACUCAGAAGAAACCUCGUGUUGUUUGGUCUAUAGAGCUUCACAGGAAGUUUGUUGCAGCUGUUAAUCAGUUAGGCCUUGAAAGUGGGUUCUUUAGCAUUAGUAUGGUAGUUGUUUUCUAUCUUUAUUAUGGAUGUUUCCAUAUUAACGGACUGUUUACUCAUCCUGUUUGUAAUGCAGAAGCUGUUCCUAAGAAGAUUCUCGAUAUGAUGAAUGUUGAUGGACUUACAAGAGAGAAUGUGGCUAGCCAUCUUCAGGCAUUAACCUCUCAUUGUUCUUUUAUAAUUCUAUAUAUUGCGAUUGAGUCCCGUUUUUACGAGUUUAGCUGGCUAUUGAACUUAAGAAUGGGAAAGAUCAUAUAGAAAUUUUCUUGCUACAUUUUCACAAAUGUUAGUUAGCUAAUGUCUGCAUUUUAUUUUUUAAAUAAGCAUUUGAAAAACAAUGAAGGGUAGCAAUGCAGUAAUUCUCUAUAACAAUCACAAUGGUGUUCUAUGAGUUGUCUUGUGCGUAAUUUCCUUUUCUUAAGAGAAGCACAAUGGUAUAUAGUUUGAAAAGUUUUAAUAAGGCUUUUCUUUUUGUGUCACAGAAGUAUAGGCUCUACUUGAAAAGGAUCAGCUCAGAAGCAACCCAGCAAGCGAACAUGGUUGCCGCAUUAGGUGGAAAAGAUUCUGCGUACAUGCGAAUGGGUUCACUUGACGGGCUUGGUGGUUUUCGAACAUUGGCUGGAUCUGGAAGGUAUGGUCAGGCCAGCUUAUCAUCAUCAUAUGCAUCAGGAGGUAUGCUCGGCAGGCUAAAUAGUCCUGCCGGUGUGAGCCUUCGCAGUCUGGCAUCAUCGCCGCUGCUCCAACCUAAUCAUGGUCAAAGUUUAAGCAACUCCAUGAAUUCUUUUACGAAGUUGAAUCCAAAUGUUCCACCUGUAAGCCAGAAUGCUAGUUUAUUCCAUGGAAUUCCUGCAUCAUUGGAGCUUGAUCAAUUACAGCAGAGUAAGUGUGCCAUACGCAUGGGAGAACUAAAUCCUUUGGAUGAGCACGGACUGCUCACAGCGGCCAGUAGUACAUUCACAGACUCUAGAUCUGUGGUUGGUAACUCAAACAGCUCGUUGUCCAAUUUCUUAAGUAAUCCUAUAUUGCUUCAAGUAAACUCCCAGCAACCACUGACAGGAGGAGGAUUUGGAAAUCAACCUUCUCUCAAUGUCGCUUCUUUUAGCUCUGAUGCCUUUAAUACUGGAGUAAGUGGUUCUUCCAAUUUUCUGGACCAUAGUAGAUAUAAUGAGAAUUGCCAAAACUCUAUCCAGCCUGUGAAGUUGCAGUCAAGUUCUUUUCCUUUGUCUGAACCUUUUAGUAACAGCCAUUUGCCUCAAGAUAGGGUAAGAGAGAAUAGGACUUCAGCCGGCCCUCAUAUGCAGAACAGCACUGUCGAUUUUUCUUCCUCGACCAUAGUAUCCCUACCUUUUGAAGCUUCAAGAGGAGAAACACAAUGCCUGGAAAGUUUAGGGGGUGGUGUUCAGAUUAUGAAUCAAGCGCACUACCAACAGUGGCCGGAUCAGAACCAACAUUAUUCCCAGAACUCAAACCAUAUUUUUGGCAACAUGAGCUCUCAAGUUUCCAGCAAUGGUGGUGUGGCGUCUUUAUCUCAUAGUAUGGACCAAAACAAUGAAGUCGUCCACAGAGGGGUUGACGUCUCUUUGAUUGGCACAUCAAAUGGAGGUUCUUCAGCACUCAUACAACAUAGUCCCGACUCGAGGACGAGGACAAGUGAAGACUAUCUCUUGGAGACAACAAAGCAACAAGUUGGUUUUCUUCCUCAGGGCUAUGGCUCCCUUGAUGAUCUAAUGAGUGCAAUGAAACGGGUAAGAUAACCUUCAUUGGACUUGCUUUCUUAGUUUUUAAGUUUUCAAAUGUUUUAUUCUGAAGUUGUAAGUAUUAGAUUCUGAGACCUGAAUGGUAAUGUUAGUUGGAUAUGUACUAUUGAUUUUGAAAUGAAGAUGAAUUCCACAGCCUCUUGUAGGAAUGUAGGGUAAACUCUAUACAAUACACCCUUGUGGUCCUGGCCUUCCUCGAACCCCGCCCAUAGCGGGAGCUUAGUGUACCGGCUGUCCUUUUUUUUAAACCUAAAUCUUCUGUCUCAAGCUAUGUUACUCGGAUUCUCCAGAAAUAUUGCCGGGUGCGUGUCGGAUCCUUCAAAAGUAGUGUAUUUUUGAAGGAUCUGACACGGGAGCUGCAACAUUUUGGAGAGUCCGCGCAACAUAGGUCUCAAAUAUAACUGAUCAAGCUUUUCUUGAGGAAAUGACCCUUAAAUUUAGUAUAUAUAAGUUGUUUAUAUAUAUUUGCUGUCUCAUAUUGCAAGACAUAAAUGAACAUACUAAAGGAUUUUAUUUGUGUGAUGCAGGAGCAACAAGAUGGAGCCAUGUUAGAAGGGGCAGAAUUUGGAUUUGAUGCUUAUUCUUUUGGGUCAGGUUUAUGAGGUUUUGUCACUAUCAUUUUAGGAAGAGGAUUUUAGGAUUGUAGCAAGAUUUAUUUGCUCAUUUAGGGUUCUAUAACAAUAUGCCUAGAAGAACUACCAGUGCACCACUGCCCUCUUUUUCAUUGUUCAUUUCCAAUCCAGGAACGAUCGUAGAAAAUACUUAAAUGCUUUCUUGUUGUUUCUAAAGGGUCAGUUCUGUGAGUUCCAACAGACCAUUUGCUUUAGACUCAAGUAAUGUAUAUAUAUGCGGAAAAAAGAAGUGUAUGCAUAUAAGAAGAUUGCACUCAUGUUGAAUUCACUGACUCUGGAUCCUGAUCUGCCUCUGGAGGGGCUAUAUAAGGCGAGUCGACUGUCUGCAGAUUCAUGUAUCAGUGACAAUGUUAUCACCAAAAACUACUUAACUCGUGAUAGAUUGAGACUCUUCUCAUGAAGCAAUAAACUGUCUCUAAUAAUUCUGUUUAUUACUACUUUUAGUAUGAUAAAAUUUGUUUCAGUUGGCUUCUCCACAACUUUCAGUUAUUUCAGGACAAACAAGUGAAUAUCAGGCAUCUUGGCAUAACCAUGAUAUUUGUGUACUAGUGGAGAUACUCAUAAUGAAAGUACAAAACUAAGAGCCUUGGGUUCAAAUUUUAAGUAACUAAACAGUUACUUAUAUUAUAUAAUCCAAGCAUAAUGAAUUGCUGUAUAAAGCUUACUUCAAAUAGUUAUCAUUGCUCUUAAGUUUUUGCAAAAAAAAUUAGAUAGAUUUUGUGGGGUGUGCCAGGCCAAGGUUGUAGUGCAACACCAAAGCGAAACUUGAAAGUCCCAAUAGCAAGCUACCGUGGUGGACCUCUACGAAACAAAAUUAAUAAUAUCGUGUGAGUCGACAUAUUAAAUAUUAAAUUGAUAAGAACAGAUACUAACAAGUAUGCUUAUCUACGUUCAUGAUCUAUCUAUUUUAUACUAAUUUCCUUUUGUUCUGCUUUCUUCCACUUCCAGUGUGGGACACUACACAAUGGAAACUGCAUAAGUCUUUGUUUAUCUUGAACAAUCCCUCCCCNNNNNNNNNNNNNNNNNNNNNNNNNNNNNNNNNNNNNNNNNNNNNNNNNNNNNNNNNNNNNNNNNNNNNNNNNNNNNNNNNNNNNNNNNNNNNNNNNNNNNNNNNNNNNNNNNNNNNNNNNNNNNNNNNNNNNNNNNNNNNNNNNNNNNNNNNNNNNNNNNNNNNNNNNNNNNNNNNNNNNNNNNNNNNNNNNNNNNNNNNNNNNNNNNNNNNNNNNNNNNNNNNNNNNNNNNNNNNNNNNNNNNNNNNNNNNNNNNNNNNNNNNNNNNNNNNNNNNNNNNNNNNNNNNNNNNNNNNNNNNNNNNNNNNNNNNNNNNNNNNNNNNNNNNNNNNNNNNNNNNNNNNNNNNNNNNNNNNNNNNNNNNNNNNNNNNNNNNNNNNNNNNNNNNNNNNNNNNNNNNNNNNNNNNNNNNNNNNNNNNNNNCCACAACUUAUGACUUAAGAUGCCUUGCAGUAACAAGGUCUACUCAACUUGAAUUCCACGUUAAUGGAACUUGUGUCAUGAAUGUAUCACAUAAUUUUCAAUUAUUAUUUGUAUUAUAAGCUAAUCAGAACUUUGAUUAUUUGACCAAGGUAUUUGAUUUGCAAAAUGCACCAUUAGUUUAUACUCUUUCAUAUAUAUAGUGCAAUUGGGUUUUUAUACCGUUUCUCAGCAGAUCAUAUUUCUUGCUUAUCAAUUAAAUUAACAUCUGCUUCUUAAACUAAGGUAACCAUUUAAGAGAAACAAUGAACAACGGAAAUUUUGCAUGCUCUUAGAAAGGCAUGAGUACAGCAUUCAUUGGAUGCACUUAUAUUUGGAAAAAAUAAAUACUUUAAAUCACCCUUAAAUUUGGUUCAGAUUAUUAAUAUCCUUUCCGAAUUAUGCCCGAUCUUAAUUACUCCCCUCAACUUGGUAUUUUGAGGGUCAUUACCCCCCUAGACGUUGAUGUGAUAAAAUGUGUGGGUGCACUCGUCUGCCACGUGAAUUUUUCUGUCUAUGUGGCAUUUUUUAAAAAAUAAAAUAUUUUUAUCUUUUAAAGAAUAUUACUUUUUUAUAUAUUUUUUUCGAAUAAAAUAUAAUAAAAUAAGGAUAUAACUACAUUAUUUAGGCUAAAUAUUUUUAUCUAGCCAAACUAAUAAAGUUUUAGAUAAUUAUUUUUUUUGAAUUUGACCUGAAAAUAAAUAUUAAUACAAUUAAAAUAAAUAGUCCUGUUUUCAGAAUACUUGCAGACGAUGUAUAAUUUUUCAACUAUGUAUUUUUUUUAUAACUUUUUAGAUGUCUUGACUAUUUAUUUCAAUUGUAUAAAUCUUUAUUUUUAGGUCAAAUUCAAAAAAAAUUAACUAAAACUUUAUUAGUUUUGGCCAAAAAUAUUUAGCCUAAAUAAUGAAGUUAUAUCCAAGUUAUAAAUUUUAUUCGGAGAAAUUAUAUAAAAAAUAAUAUUCUUAAAAAGGUAAAAAAAUAUUUUCUUUUUUUAAAAAGGCCACAUAAACAAAAAAAUUCACGUGGCAGGUGAGUGCACCCACACUUUUUGCCACAUCAACGUCUAGGGAGGUAAUGAUCCUCAAAAGGUCAAGUUGAGAGGGGUAAUUAAGAUCGGACAUAGUUCAUGGAGGAUACUAAUAAUUUGAGCCAAGUUUAGGAGUAGUUUAAUGUAUUUACCCAAAAUCUUCGAAUUAUAUUUGGUGGGGUGAGCCUACCAAGGUAAUAGUGCAAUGUCAAUGCGACACUAGAAACUCCCGAUAGCAAGCUACCGCGGCGGACCAAAAAUGUACCCGAAACGACUUGAAAUUUCUUGGGCUUAUAGAAGUUUUUAACUAAUUCCAAUUGACCUGAAAUUUCAGAGGUCCAUAGGAACGUCCUACUGGUUUUCUAAUUUUUUUGACGGACUCAUAAGUACAGAAAUUCAGGACGAUUCUCGGAUUUUCUGUGCUAUAUAUAAUCCAGACCAUAUGCAUGAAUUCGGGCGACCGACGUCGAAUCUCCUAAAAUUUUACGUGCCCGUGAAAUAUGAUCUAAUAAACAACAAUCAUCGCAUCGCCAUGACCAUUCCUCAUUUUUUGGUGUUUUAGAGCCAUAACAUUGGAAUUCUGCCAUGUUCCCGGAUUUUCAUAUGUUAUAGCCCAUGCCAUCUGCAUGCAUCCAGGCGAUCGAACCCGAAUUGCCUAAAUUUUUGCCGGACCAUAAAAACGACCAUAAGAAACAAUAGUCAUCGCUUCGCCAUGACCUUUCCUUGUUUUUUGGUGUUUUAGGGCCAUAAAACUGGAAUUUUGCCCGAUUUCCAGAUUUUUCGUGUGCUAUAAAUAACGUCAUCUACAUACAUCUGGGCGACCGGACCCGAAUCUCCUACAAUUUUUUCUGCCUAUAAAAAACGACAUAAGGAAUAAUAGUCAUCACUUCGCCAUGACCGCUCCUCGGUAUUUUGCAUUUCAUGGCCAUAAAAUUGGAAUUUCACCUGAUUUCUAGAUUUUCAUGUGCUAGCCCACAUCAUCUGCAAUGCAUUCGAAUGACUAGGCACAAAUCGCCUAAAAUUUUGUCAGCCCAUCAAAAAUUACCUAGGGAAUAUGAGUCAUCGCUUCGUCAUGAUAGCUCCUGGUUUUUUCUGUAUUUUAGGGUCAUAAAAUUGGAAUUUUUUCCUAUUCGCAGAUUUUCCUGUUUUAUAGUUCGUGCCAUCUGCAUGCAUCCGGGCGGUCGAACCCAAAUUGCCUAAAUUUUUCCAGCCCAUUAAAAUGCCUAAGAAACCAUAGUCAUCGCUUCUCCGCGAUCGUUUCUCUUUUUUGGCAUCUUUAGGACAUAAAACGAAAAUUAUGCCCUAUUUUCAUAUUUUCGUAAGCUAUAGUCCAUGCCAUUUGCAUGCAUCCAGCCGAUCGGACCCAAUUCAUCUAAAAUUUUGUUCGCCUAUAAAAACUGGUCUAAGGAACAAUAAUCAUCACAUCGCCAUGACCGUUCCUCACUUUUUGUCGUUUUAGAGCCAUACAACUAAAAUUCCACCCGUUUCUUAGAUUUUUGUAUAUUAUAACCCACGCCAUUUGCAUGCAUUCAUACGACCACACUCGAAUUGCCUAAAAUUUUCCGACCCAUCAAAAAUGACCUAAGAGAUAAUAUUCAUCGCUUCGCCAUGAUUGUUCCUUAUUUUUUGGCAUUUUAGGGCCAUAAAAUUGGAAUUCCACCCCAUUCUCUACUUUCUGUAUGUUUCCCAUGCCAUCUGCAUGCAUCUAGGAAAUCAGACCCGAAUCUCCUAAAAUUAACUAUCCUAUUAAAAUGAUCUAAGGAAUAAUAGUCAACGAUUCGCCAUGACCAUUCCUCCUUAUUUAGCAUUUUAGAGCCAUAAAAUUGAAAUUCUGGAUUUUUUAUGUGUUAUAGCCCACGCCAUCUGCAUUCAUAGGGCGACUGGACCCAGAUCACCUAAAAUUUUAUCGUCGUAUUCAAAAUACGUAUGGAACAAUAAAUAUCGCUUCGCCAUGACCAUUCCUCAUUUUUCGGCGUUUUAGGUCCAUAAAACUAAAAUUUCGUCUGAUUACCAAAAUUUUCGUGUGGUAUAGCCUAUGCCAUCUACAUGCACUAGGGUGACCGGACCUGAAUUGCCUAAAGUUAUGCUGGACCGUAAAAACAACUUAAGUAACAAUAGUCAUUGUCUCGCCAUGAUCGUUCCUCAUUCUUUGGGAUUUUAGGGCCAAGAAAUCGAAAUUCCGUCUAAUUCUUAGAUUUUCGUAUGUAUUAGCCCACGCCAUUUGUAUUGGUCCAGACGAAUGUACUCGGAUCACCUAAUAUUUUUCCAGCCUAUGAAAAAGGACCUCAGAAAGAAUAAUCAUCAUCUCACCAUGACUGAUCCUCGUUUAUGGUAUUUUAGAGCCAUAAACUAGAAUUUCGCCUGAUUCCUAGAUUUUCAUGUGCCAUGCCAUCUGCAUGGAUCCGGGGAACCAGACCCGAAUCGCUUUAAAAUUUUGUUGUUCUAACCGUGCCUCAUUUUUGACUUUUUAGGGCUAUAAAAUAGGAAUUCUGUCUGAUUUCCAGAUUUUCUUGUGCUAUAGCCUACACGAUCACCGUUUUUCUUUUUUGGCAUUUCGAGCCAUAAAACUGGAAUUUCGUCUGAUUCCUAAUUUUAUAUGAUAUAGCCCACGCCAUAUGCAUGGUUGUGGACCAGACCCGGACCACCUAAAGUUUUGCUGGCCCAUUAAAAAUGUCCUAAGGUAAAAUAAUCAUCGCCUCUCCAUGACUAUUACUCGUUUCUUGGCGUUUUAGGGCCAUAAAAUGGAAUUUCGCUAAUUCCCAGAUUUUCGAAUGCCAUAGCCUGCGCCAUGUGUUGCCCGAACCCAGAUUGCCUAAUAUUUUACAUGCCGAUCAAAAACUAUCUAAGGAAUAAUAGUCAUCGUCUCGCCAUAACCGUUCUUCAUUUUUUGGCUUUUUAGGGUCAUAAAACUUGAAUUUUGCCAGAUUUCCAAAUUUUUGAAUGUUAUAGCCCAAGCCCUCUGCAUGGCUCGGGGCGACAUGACCCAGAUAGCGUAAAAUUUUGCCGCCUCAUUAAAAACAACCUAGAACGAUAGUAAUCGCCUCUCCAUGACCGUUUCUCCUUUUUCGCAUUUUAGGGCCAUAUAACUAGAAUUCUCCCAGUUUUACAUGUGUUAUAGCCCACACAAUCAGCAUGGAUUUGGACAACCGGACCUAGAUCACUUAAAAUUUUAUCGGCCUAUCAAAUAUGAUCUAAGGAAGAAUAGUCAUUGCUUCCUUAUGACCAAUCCUCAUUUUUGGCGUUUUAAGGUCAUAAAAUUAGAAUUUCGCAUGAUUCCUAGAUUUUAAUGUGAUAUGCCCAUGCCAUCUGCAUGGGUCCGGGAAAACGAACCCGAAUUGCCUAAAAUUACGUCGGACCAUCAAAAAUGUGCUAAUGAAGAAUAGUCAUUACCUCGCCAUGACUCAUCCUCGUGUUUCGGCGAUUUAAGUCCAUUAAAUUGGAACUGUACCCGUUUUCCUUAUUUUCGUGUGCUACAGUCCAUGCCAUCUGCAUGGUCCAAGCGAUCGGAUCUGGCUCUCCUAAAAUUUUGACGGACCUUCAAAAACAAUCUAAGGGACAAUAGACACCGCCUCACCAUGAUUGUUCAUUAUCUUUUGGUAUUUAAGCGCAAAAAAUGGAAUUCUGCUCGAUUUCAAGUUUUCAUGCGCAAUAGUCCACGCCAUCUACAUGACUCUAGGCGACCGGACCUGAAUCCCCUAAAUUUUUCCAGCCCAUAAAAAUUGACUAAAGGAACAAUUGCCAUCGCUUCGUCAUGAUCAUUUCUCAUUUAUUCCUAUUUUAUGGCCAUAAAGUAGGAAUUCUGCUCGAUUUCCAGAUUUUCUUGUGCUAUAGCCCAUGCCAUCUGCAUGGGUCAUGGUGACCGGACCCUGAUUGCCUAAAAUUUUUGCAACCUAUCAAAAAUGACCUAAGGAAGAAUAGUUACCGCCUCCCCAUGGUUGAUCUUUAUAUUUUGGCGUUUUAGGGUCUUAAAGCUGGAAUUUUUCCCGAUUCCUAGAUUUUCGAAUGUUAUUGCCCAUGCCACUUGCAUGGGUCCAAGUGUCGAACCCAGAUAGCCUAAUAUUUUUCUGGCCCAUAAAAAAUAACCUAAGAAACAAUAGUCAUCAUCUCGCCAUGACUUUUCCUCAUUUAGUGCUAUAAAACUGGAAUUUUACCCGAUUCCUAAAUUUUCUAAUGAUAUAGCCCAUGCCAUCUGCAUGGAUCCAAGGGACCGGACCUAGAUAGCCUAAAAGUUUGUCGUCCAUCAAAAAUAACCUAACAAACAAUAGCCAUUGGUUUUCCAUGACCGUUCCUAUUUUUUUGGUAUUUAGGGCAUAAAAUUGGAUUGCUCAAUUCCUAGAUUUUCGUGUGUUAUAGCCCACACCAUCUGUAUGAGUCAAGGCAACCGAACCUGGUCACAUAAAAUUUUGCCGACUCAUAAAAAAUGGCAUAUGAACAAUAUCCAUUGUCUCUCCAUGGUCGUUCCUCGUUUUUGACAUUUAAGGUUAUAAACUAGAAUUUCGCUCAAUUCCUAGAUUUUUAUAUAAUAUAGCACGCGCCAUCUGGGUGGGCUCGGCCGAUCGAACCUGAAUCGCCUCAAAUUUUUUCGGUCAAUCAAAAAUUACCUAAGGAACAAUAGUUGUUGUCUCAUCAUCAUCCUUGGCGUUUUAGUGCCAUAAAACUAGAAUUUCGCUUGAUUUUAAUGUUUUCAUGUGCUAUAGCCCGCGCCAUUUGUAUGGGUCUUGGUGACUGGACCCGGAUCGCCUAAAAUUUUGCAUGCUCAUAAAAAUAACCUAAGGAAUAAUAAUCAUCAUGUCGCCAUAGCCAUUCCUCAUUUUAUGGCAUUUUGGGGACAUAAAAUAUAUAUUUUUCAGAUUUUUGUGUGCUAUAGACCAUGCUAUCUGUCGGAUCUCCUAAUAUUUUGUCGGCUUAUAAAAAUGAUCAAAGGAUCAAUAGUCAUCGCUUUGCCAUGUCCGCUCCUUAUUUUUGUCCUUUAAAGGCCAUACAACUGAAAUUUCGUCCGAUUUUUAGAUUUAUAUGAUAUAGCCCACGACAUCUACAUGCAUCCAUGUGACCAGAACUGAUUGACCUAAAAUGUUGCCGGCCCAUAAAAAAUUACCUAAGAAACAAUAGUCAUCUAUACGUCGUGGCCGUUCCCUAUUUUUAGCAUUUAGGACCAUAGAAUUGGUAUUUCGCCCGAUUCCUAGAUUUUUAUGUGUUAUAGCCACGCCAUUUGUAUGUAUUCGAGCGACCGAACCCAGAUUGCCUAAAAUAUUACAGUCUAUAAAAAUGACUUAAGGAACAAUAAUCAUCGCUUACUAUGAGCGUUCCUCAUUUUUUGGCGUUUAAGGGCCAUAAAAUAGAAAUAUGUCUAAUUCACAGAUUUUCGUAUGAUAUAGGCUAUGCUAUUUACAUACAUCCGGGUGACUGGACCCAAAUCGCCUAAGAUUUUGUCGGCCCACCAAAAUCGACCUAAUAAUGAUAGUCAUCGUUUUGCCAUGACCGUUCCUAUUUUUUGGAAUUUUAGGUCCAUAAAACUUGAAUUACGCCUAGUUUCCAAAUUUUCUUAUGUUAUAACCCAUGUCAUCUACAUGCAUCCGGGCAAUAGAACCUGAAUCGCUUAAAAUUUUGUCAGCCCCAUAACAAUGACCUAAGAAUAAUAGCCAUUGUUUCUCCAUAAACAUUCCUCAUUUUUUGGCGUUUCAAGAUCAUAAAACUAGAAAUUCGCUUGAGUUUCAUAGCCUACGCCAUAUGCAUGCAUCCGGGCGACCAAACCCGAAUAACUUAAACUUUUGUCGGCCCAUAAAAAAUAACCUAAAGAAAAAUAAUUAUUGUUUCGCCAUGACCGUUUCUUGUUUUUGGCAUUUUAGAGCUAUAAAAUUGGAACUUUGCUCGAUUCCGAGAUUUUCAUGUGUCAUAGCCCACGCCAUGUGAGUCGGUCAUGACGGCCGGAAUCGGAUCGCCUAAAAUUUUAUCUUCCCAUAAAAAAGACCUAAGAAAAAACAGUCAUUUCCUUGUCAUGAACGUUUUUUGACAUUUUAGGGCCAUAAACUUGAAUCCUGCCCUAUUCCAAAAUUUUUAUGUGUUAUAGCUCAUGCCAUCUAUAUAGGUCCAGGCAACUAGACCCAGAUCGCCUAAAAUUUUGGCGGGUAAUAAAAAGUGAAUUAAGGAACAAUUAUCAUCACCUCGCCAUGAUUGUUCUUCAUUUUUGAUGUUUUAGCGCCACAAAAUUGGAAUUCUGUCAGAUUACCAAAUUUUCAUGUGCUAUAGCCCACAUUAUCUGUAUAGGUCUAGGCGAACAGAUUUAGAUCGCCUAAAAUUUUGUCGGACCAUAAAAAUAACCUAUGGAACAAUAGUUAUCGUCUUGCUAUGAUCAUUUCUUGUUUUUUGGCGUUUUAGGGCCAUAAAUUAGAAUUUUGCCCGAUUUUCAUAUUUUCGAGUGCUAUCCUUCACGCUAUCUUAUUGGAUAUGAGCAACUCGGAUAGCCAAUAUUUUACCAGCCUAUCAAAUACAACCUAACGAACAAUAGUCAUCACUUCGCUAUGACCGUUCCUAGUGUUUUUUCGCGUUUUAGCGUCAUAAAAUAGGAACAAUAGUAAUCGUCUCACCAUAAUCAUUCCUCGUUUUUUGGCAUUCAGGGCUAUAAAUUUUAAAUUUCGCAUGGCUCCUAGAGUUUUGAGUGAUAUAGCCCACGCCAUCUGCAUGGGUCCAGGUGAUUGACCUAGAUCGCCUAAAAUUUUAUCCGCCUAUCAAAAAUGACCUAAGAAACAAUAGUUAUCGUCUCGCCAUGAAUGUUGCUCAUUUUUUUGCGUUUAAGGGCCAUAAAACUGGAAUUCCUCCCGAUUCCUAGAUUUUCGUGUGUAUAGCCCAUUCCAGUUGCAUGGGUCUGGGCGACCGGACACAGAUCACCUAAAAAAUUAUUGGCUCAUCAAAAAUAACCUAAGGAACAAUCGGUAUCGCCUUACCAUGACCAUUUCUCAUUUUUGGCAUUUCAAGGCCAUUAAACUAAAAUUUUGCUCAAUUCCCAGAUUUUAGUGUGUUGUAGCCCACUUCAUCUGCAUGGAUCUAGCUUGCCUAAAAAUUUUCCGGCCCAUAAAAUAUGAUCUAAUGAACAAUAUCAUCGUCCCGCCAUGACCAUUCCUUGGCGUUUAAAGCCAUAAAUUUGGAAUUUCACUCGACUCCUAGAUUUUGUGUGUUGUAACCCAUGCUAUUUGUAUGGGCCGGGGAGACCGGACCUAAUCUCUUAAAAGUUUGCCAGACCAUCGAAAAUGAAAUAAGGAACAAUAGUCAUCGUCUCACCAUGAUCAUUCCUCGUUUUUUGGAGUUUUAGGGCCAAAAACUGAAAUUUUGCCUCAUUCCCAUAUUAUCAUGUCGUAUAGCCAAUAAAAUUUUAAUUCCCAUACUCAAUCACCUAAAAUUUUACUGGUCCAUUAGUGACGACCUAAGGAACAAUAGUCAUCGCCUUACCGUGAUUGUUCCUUAAUUUUUAGUGUUUUAGGGCCAUAAAACUGCAAUUUCGCUUUAUUCUCAUAUUUCUGUAUGCUAUAGUACACACCAUCUCAUGGGUUCGAGCGAUUGGACCCGGAUCUUAAGGCCUUUAAAUUGGAUUUUACUUGUUUCCCUAAUUUUCGUAUACUACAGCCCACGCCAUUUGCAUGGGUCCAGGCGACAGGAUCCGGAUCUCCUAAAAUUUUGCCGACCAAUACCGCCUAAAUUUAUUUUGGCCCAUAAAAAAUAACCUAAGGAACAACACUUAUCGCCUCCGCAUGACCAUUCCUUAUUUUUUGGCCUUUUAGGGCCACAAAAUUAAAAUUCUGCCGAAACAACCUAAAUAACAAUAGUUAUCGUCUCGCCAUGACCAUUCUUCAUUUUUUUUUUUGCUUUUUAGGGCCAUAAAAUUAUAAUUCCGACUGAUUUCCAGAUUUUUGAGUGCUAUAUAGCCCACACCAUCUACAUUGGUCCGUACAACCGGACCUAGAUCGCAUAUAAUUUUGUUUGCCCAUCAAAACGACGUAAGAAAAAAUAAUCAUCGACAUGAUUGUUCGAAUUUCAUUGCGUUUUAGGGGCAUAAAAUUGGAAUUCCGCUCGAUUUCUAAAUUUUAAUAUGUUGUAACUCGCGCCAUUUGCGUGGGUCCGGGCUAUUGGACUUGGAUCAUCUAAAGCUUUGUCGGCCCAUAAAUGACGACCUAAGGAAAAUAGUCAUUGCUUAGCCAUGACCGUUCCUCAAUUUUUGGCAUUUUAGGGCCACAAAGAUGGAAUUCCGCCCGAUUUUUAAGUUUUCGUGUGCUAUGGCCCAUGCCAUUUGCAUAGGUCCGUGCGACCGGACCUGAAUCGUCUAAAAUUUCACCAGCCCAUAAAAAAGAUCUAAGGAAUAACAGUCAUCAUUUCGCCAUGAUUGUUCCUCGUUUUUUGAUGUUUUAGGGCAAUAAAACUGAAAUUUAAUCUGAUUACUAGAUUUUCGUGUGCCCCAUGCCAACUGAAUGGUUUUGGGCGACAAGACCCGGAUCACCUAAAAUUUUGCCGGCGCAUAAAUGACGUACGGAAUAGUAAGCAUCGCCGCACCAUGAUCAUUUCUCGUUUUUUUGGCGUUUUAGGGCCAUAAAAGUGAAAUUUCUCUCGAUUUGUAAAUAUUCGUGUGAUAUAUAGCUCAUGCCAUUGCAUGGUUCCGGGAAACCAGAUCUAGAUCGCCUAAAAUUUUAUCAGCCCAUCAAAAACGACCUAAACACAAUAGUCAUCGCCUCGCCACGACCAUUCCUUAUUUUUUGAUAUUUUAAGGCCAUAAAACUAAAAUUUAGCCUAAUUUCAGAUUUUUGUAUGCUAACUCACGCAUGUGCAUGGGUCUAUGUGAUCGGAUACGGAUCACCGAAAAUUUUGCCGGCCCAUAAAAAAUAACGUAAAGAACAAUAAUCAUCGUCUCGCCAUGACCAUCCCUUGUUUUUAGCACUUUAGGAUAUUAAAAUUGGAACUCCGUCCAAUUCUCAGAUUUUCGUAUGUUAUAGCCCGCACCAUUUAUAUGGUCCGGGCGACUGGACCCGCAUUGCCUAAAUUUUGCCGGCCCAUCUAAAAUGACUUAAGGAACAAUAGUUAUCGCUUCGCUAUAAGUUUUCCUCAUAUUUUGUGUUUUAGGAUCAUAAAACUAGAAUUCCGCCCAAUUCUCAAAUUUUCAUGUGUGAUUGCCUACACCAUCUAUAUGGAUCCGGGCGACAGGAGGCGGAUCACUUAAAAUCUUGUCGGCCUAUCGAAAACGACCGAAGGAACAAUAGUCAUCGUCUCGCCAUGACUGUUCCUCGUUUUUGGUAUUUUGAAGCCAUAAAAUUGGAAUUCCGCCCGAUAUUUCGUAUGCUAUAGCCCAUGCCAUCUGCAUUGGUCCGGACGACCGGACCUGGAUCACCUAAAAUUUCGUCGGCCCAUCAAAAAUGAUAUAAGGAAUAAUAAUCAUUGCUUCGCCAUCAACAUUUCUCAUUUUCUAGUGUUUUAGGGCCAUAAAACUGGAAUUCUACCUGAUUCUCAAAUUUUCGUGUGCGAUAACCUACUUUAUCUCUAUGGGUCUGGGCAACAAGACCCGGAUCACCUAACAUUUAGCAAUCCCAUAACAAAUGACCUAAAAAACAAUAGUUAUCUCCUCAGCAUAACUAUUUCUCAUUUUUUAUCAUUUUAGGCUAUAAUAAUGAAUUCAGUAUGAAUUCGGGUGAGCGACCCUGAAUCUAUAACAUUUCGUACAACCCAUCAAAAAUAACCUAAUGAACAAUAAUCAUUGCUUCGCCAUGACCGCUCUUCAUUUUUGAUAUUUUAGAGCCAUAAAAUAGGAAUUUAGAAUUAUUCCCAUAUUUUCGUAUGUUAUAAUCCACGCCAUCUGCAUAAUCGAGCGAUUAACCUCGAAUCUUCUAAAAUUUUGGGAGCCCAUACAAACGACCUAAUGAACAAUAAUAAUCGCUUCGCUAUGAUCGUUCCCCGUUUUUGCAUUUUUGGUCCAUAAAAUAGGAAUUAGGAUUAUUCCUAGAUUUUUUUUUUGUGUUAUAGUCCACGUCAUCUGCAUGAAUUCGGACGAUCGACCUCGAAACUCUUAAAUUUUGCAGGCACAUCAAACAUGACCUAAUCAACAAUAGUCUUUGCUUCGCCUUGAUAUUUAUUUUUUGGCGUUUUAGGGCCAUAAAAUAAGAAUUCGGAACAAUUUUCAUAUUUUUGUGUGCUAUUGUCCACACCUUCUACAUGAAUUCAGGUGACCAGCCACGAAUCUCCUAAUAUUUUUUAGGUCCAUCAAAAGCAACCUAAUGAAUAAUAGUCUUUGCUUAGUCAUGAUCGUUCCUCGUUUUUUGGCGUUUUAGGACCAUAAACAUGAAUUUAGGACAAUUUCCAAAUUUUUGUAUGUUAUGCUACUGUCCUGAGUAGCCUAAAAUUUUUUUGAGCCCAUUAGAACCGACCUAAUAAAUAAUAAUCAUUGCUUCUUCAUGAUCGUUCCUCGUUCAUUAGGAGAUUCAAAAUAAAAAUAAAAAGUAAUCACGUGAAAAAGUUAUGGGAAUUCAACAUGUGUAAUAUAUCUAGAAACAUAAUUAACCUUAUAUACACUGUAACAUUUGCCCAACUAACAACGACUUGUUUUACGACACUUGUCUAAAAGUUAGUGCUCCUAUAUAUGAUAAAUAGCAUCGUCAAUGCUAGAACAAUAAAUGAAGGUAAUAAAUAGGAGUAAUUAUGACAAUUAUGCUAAGCUCAUAAAUUAUAUUAGUUGUACAUAAAUUUAAAAAAAUCUUCAAAAAGUGUUACUGAUAUUGUUGCAUCUACUAUUUCUUUGUGACAAUGACAUGAUAUGAGCAAAAAUACUUUAAGAAUUACAUUAUAGAACUUUCAAGCAAAAUACAGUGAGUGCACCUGCACCUGCACCAAAUGUCUAAUCCAACAAACAUAUGGUCCCUUUGUUUUAAUGCUUCAACACUAAGUUACCAAUACCAAAUAUUGACAUGAAAUUCCACUUUGUUUGUAUCCAAGAACCUUCAUUGUCAAAGAAUACGUAAAGAAUCAACAUUCCAAACAGGCAACCAAGGAUAAAGAUUGUUUCAGCCUUGACUAGAUAUCAGAUCCGACCCUGAGAAUAGUCCCCUUUGAUAGGGAGACUAAAACUCGCCAUAAUGGGCUUUCUACGGUGCGAAUCCCGACUAGCCGAACCUCAAAGAGCUAAAACUCGCCCAUGGUAAGCUUUCUACAAUGCAAAUCCUGAUUAGCCGGUGGAUCUGCUUCAUCUUUUUAGGUUUAUGCUCUACUCCGAAUAAAGAUCCACCCUAUUUGGAUUUGAGUUCGGCACAUCGGAUGGGUGAACCCAAAACAAAACAAAACAUUUCACACAGAAUUCAAAUGCUUAUCACAUACUAUUGAUACUAUCAACUUUAUAAAGUUUCAGAGGCAAAAGACUUCCAUAAACAUAAGCUUAAACAUUUAGGAAUAUCACUAAAGACUGUUUUAAACACUCAUUUAAUUGUCUGUAGGUAAAAAAAUUCACCAUUGUACUGCAUUUGCCUACUUUCCAAGGAUUGAUUUGAUCCACCAAAUUCCUUUAGUGUCUUUGGGGGCAUCAUCAUUCUCUGGUGGGGGAUUAGUAUGUUGUGUCUUGUGGAGCUUGCUCACAUCAUAGCCUUCUUCUUUAGCCUUCUCAACAAGCUGGUUGUAUAUCUCAUCAUCAAGAGAAUUUUGCCUACAUAAUACCUGCCAACAAACCGCCGCCAGAUACAUUUUGUUAUGCCAGAAAACAAGAAUCCGUUAAAAAGAUAUGCACAUUUGAUAACCUAACAAACAGAAGGUUUGAAAUACAAGAAUGUUUCUAUACAACAACAAUAACAGACCCAGUGAAGCCCCGCGGAGUUUGGGGAGAGUAAUGUCUACGCAAAUGUUACCCCCUACCUUGGGAGGGUAGAGUCUACGUAAACGAUAUUCGUUUCAAUAGGGAUACAGAAAGUCAGACAAGAAUUAGUAUAUAUAUAUAGUCUGCCCUAUGCUUUUCUAGUCAAGCGAGGUAGUCGGAUGUAGUUGGUUUUCUGUGAAAUAGAUUAAUAGAGCAUAUAAUGUUGAUGGCAUGUCCAAGAUCUUAGGAAUGGGGAAGCUCAAAUGAGAUCAAAUGGGAUGAGCAUGCUGAACGGAAAGAUCAUUCACAAAAUUUAAACUGCAAAAUUGAGAUGCCCCAAAUUGUAAUCCAAGUUCUAUACCUUUAUUGUUUUCAUGCAACUAAGGUAUCAAACUUGGAAGAACUAAAAGUAUCACAGACUCGAUAUAACCCUUCAAGAAGUUACAACUGCAAGCAGAUCAACACAACUACCAAAAGAAAAAACAAAUGUUCAUAGACUCAAUCAUCGGAUGCUAGUUUCAAUGAUCGUCAAAUAACAAAUGAAAUACAACUACUAAGCUAUGCAGCUCGGCUCUCCAAAAAUGUCGUUGGGUGCGUGGCGAAUCCUCCAAAAUUAGUGUAUUUUUGGAGGAUCCGACAUGGGUGUGAUAGCAUUUUGGAGACUCCGCGCAACAUAGCUAUUAAGUGCCUUCUCAAGUUAUAGACCUAGAACACUACUUUAUUUGUUCAUGCCUCGGUAGCAUUCGCUAUUGAAGGUUAAAUUUGAAGGGAUUUUCUCAGUUUUGCUUCAACCUCCGAAUUUCAAAGAAGAUGCGUGUAUUUAAGCAAAAUGUGACAAUUUCUGUUAAUCUCAACUGAUACGAAGAGAUAACAAAUGAUCAAUCUUCUUUUAGGAGAAGGCCAGAUGGUUAAAGUCAAAUGGUUUCCCCCAAAUUUCUAUUUCAACCUCUGAAAUUCUGUCCUUAUCAUCUUAUAAAAAAGAGAUAGAGAUAUCUAUUAUCACUUUUUCAUACAUCUACCAGGAUUCUGAAACUGAAGGAAAAACAACACAAAACAAGACUCACUUUCUGAAUCACACAAACAAUUCAGUAUUCAAAACUUUGAAUACUAACUUUGAAUUUCAAAGGUUAAUAGGACUAAACAAUAAAAUUAUUGUGUAAGUUUUCCACAUUUUUUACCGGCAUAUCAGCCUCUUACAACACUAAAAACUCCUAGAAAACAUAGGACUACAGUAAACAUAUUAAUAUGACAAACUUAACCCAGCUAAUUGUUAGUACCGAUAUAGAUUUUCUCUUCAAUUUUACCCAAUUUUCUGCUAGGUCUGCAUAGACUACAAGAGAUUAUAGAUCUUUCAAGACAAUUUUUUCGACGUGAUUUUAGGUCUACCACGCCCCCUUUAAACAUAAUCUCAAUCUACAAAUUAAAAACUCAUCCAAUUUGUACAUCAAAUGACAAAGACAAUAAUUUUGAAUAUUAAAUCCUAGUUGUUCAUGUUCGGGGUAGCUUGCGAGCACCUCGACUAUUCCACCGGUUACGUGCUACCUCCCACCAACACAGGUAAGGGUAACUCUACCCAUUAAAGCUUAAGCAGAUUUAAGUCUAUUGUGCAUCUACUUAAUAAAAACUCAACCAAAUGUCAUAUCAAAUAACAAAGACAUAACUCUGAAUAUUGAAUAGAUGUGCAGAUUUAAGUCUAUUGCACAUCUAAUUAAUAAAAAUUCAAUCAAUUGUCAUAUCAAAUAACAAAGACAACAACUUUGAAUAUUAAAUCCUUGGUGUUCAUGUUCGGGGUAGCUUGCGAGCACCUAGACUAUUCCACCGGUUACCUGCCCAUCAACCCUUUGGCAGAUUUAUGUCUAUUUCACAUAUACUUAAUAAAAACUCAACCAAUUUUCAUAUCAAAUGGCAAAGACAAUAACUUUGAAUAUUAAAUCCUCGCUGUUUAUGUUCAGGGCAGCUUGUGAGCACCUCGACUAUUCCACCGGAUACAUGUUAACUCCCACCAGCCAUCAAGGCUUAGGCAUAUUUAAGUCUAUUUCACAUCCACUUAAUAAACAUCAACCAGUUUUUGUAUCAAAGAGCAAAGACAAAAACUUAAUAUAUUAAAGGUUAAUAGUGCACUUACCCAAAGAUAAUUCCUACUAGGCUGACCAAUCAAAGCAUACUGAUAAUUCUCAUAUAUGAAGAACCCAAUAAUCACCAGUAACAGGAAUAAUAGGCAAGAAACGUGGAACAUAAAACUUGACUUUUAAUUUAGCCUCAUCACUUUUAGGAUCAGCUUUAUAAGCAGUGCCUUCAAUAUAACCUAUUUUACCAUCACACUAUGUCUCAUUUAGCACAUGCACUGUACCAUCUGGUUUCAGAGUGUAAGUAGUCCUUGUGUUUACACCAUUUUGGUCUGAAAUCUUGAUGGGAAUGAAGCAAUUUCAUACCAUCUUCCCAUGUACUUUUCUAUAUCAAGUUUUUUCACCACUUCCAUUACUUUUGUUGCCAUUUUUGGGAGAUUUAAGAAAUGGGGGUUUCAAGAUUUCUUUGGGGUUUGGAGAAAUAGGAUUUGGGAUCUUUUUUAUAGGGAGGAGUUUACGUUUGUUCUAGGAUUUGGUUUCUUGCGAGAAGGUCUGUGAUAAUGCACAAAAGGAGAAAGGGUGAAAUUCAUAUUACGGAAGAAAAAAAAAUUCAUAUUAUGGGACAGACGUGGAUACUUGAGGACCUUUCGUUUUUUAAGUAAAUUUUCUUGAAACAUUAUCUAUUUUUUAAGUGCUAUUAGGUUUGGAUUUUGCAAUUAUCAAACCGAGCUAGUUGUAUCUGAUUAUUAAAUUUAAAGAUCAAAUCAAUAAAACUCAAAUUUUUAAAUCUCGCUUUUUUUGGAGUUUUAAGUUUUUUCGGAUUUUUUCCGAUAAAAUCUUCGUAGCACAAAACAUAUAACUUCUACUUAAAGUAAUUCUUUAAUCCUAGUAAGAUACAACUAUAUAAGGUAUUUUCUAAGAAAAUAAUACAAAAUAUGAGAUGUGCCAUGACAUUAUCCUAAAAUAUUCAACAAUAAAAUUAUGCAAUAUAAAUAUUGCUAAUUAAAAAGCCAUAAUAAAAAUAGACAUAAUCUAAAAGUACUAAGUCACGCUAAAAUAGUUGGAUUAAUAAGGGAGUAUUAAUUACAUGAUUAAAUGCUAAAGAAAAAAAAUAAAAAUAUGUUAUACAUUUUUAUCUAAAUUAUUGCAAAACAAAAUAGAUAUUCAAUAUAUUGUCGUUCGUAUAAUGUUGUUUGUUAGCAUAAGUAUUAAUUUGAUUUUGGUUGGGGCUUUUGUUAGCAUUGUUUAAAUUACUAAUAUUAAUGGCUAUAAAACUUAUUGGAACAUUCAAAAGUUCUAAGUCCAACACUGAAAUAAUACCUUAAAAGAUAAAAUUAUGAAAAGGUUUUAAAAGUAUUUAUAAAUUACAUCACAAUAAGUAUAUUUAUAUAUUAAAUAAUUACUAUAUAUGUAAUGCCAGAUUAGUUUGGUUUCAAUUUGAUUUUCUAUAGUUAAAUCAAACCAAAUCAAUUAUGAUCGAAUUUUUUUUCCAACACCAAACCAUAGUCGGAUUUUUUCUUCUCUAGGUAACUUGGAUUAACGAGUUGAUACGGUUUCUCGAUUGCCUUUGUAUACCCCUAAUUACGGUAUAAAAUUAUUUAUAUAAUUAAAUCAAUUGUAAAUAAAAUCCUAUAUAAAAAAAUCUAGUACAUUAAGCUCAUGCUAUAGGUAGAAAGAAUUAGACCACAUUAAGUAUUACGUUUUAAUCUUAUAUUAAUUUAUGCAAGAUGUUUUCACGACAUGAAUGUCAUACCUCUUGGUUACAUGACGCCAAUUGCUACCUUCUAUGCCAACACUACGAGUAAAUUACAUGUACUUCAAAAUUUACUUAUGCACUGUCACGUUAUAAACUCUAUUUUUUUUACUGUUACUUGCAGCAAUAAGAACACUCAAAUAUGGGUUGAAAUUCAAAAAUAGCCAGAUUUAUAAAUGGUAAUUGAAAAAUAGCAUAAUUAAAAUUUAGCCACUUUUUAUGUAAAGAUAAAUCUGAAAGAAAAUAAUAUUCAAAAUCCAAAAAAUAUUUCACAAUCAUAUAGUAAAGUUCGAAUUAACUCCAGUAUAUUAUGGUGGAUUUUCAGUAUAAAUAUAAUAGAACUCCAUCAUAAUAUAUUGAAUUUCCAGCAUAAUAUGCUGAAAGUUCAUACACAUGUGCUCCAAUCUCCAGUAUAUCAUGCUAGAACUUUCUGUGUGCUGGAAUUCCAGCAUAAUAUGUUGAAAGCUCAUACACAUGUGCAUCAAUCUCCAGUAUAUUAUGCUAGAGCUUUCCUUAAUGCAGCAAAAAUGACUAUUUUUCAAUGACUUUGCAAAUGCUGGCUAUUUUUUAAUUACUAAUCCAAAAACUGGCUAGCUGUAAUGAACUCAAAUCGAAUCAAGGAAAUCAAAAUACAGAAAUGGAAGUAGAGUGUUUGUUGGGACAAUUUUCUGAUAUAUUAAUAAAAGAAAACUAACUAUUACAACGGAUUGAGAAAUAACCACUUCUAACUAGACUCCAUAACUGCAGAACCUGAAGAGAAGAAAAGAUCUGUUAGGAAGAUAAGAGAGUCAGAAAAGGGAAGAGAGAAUCGAGGAAAAAGGAAGAGGAAUUACUUCUGUUGAACGAUGCCUCCUUCUCUCUGAUGUAGUUGGUUAUAACAACCAACAGCUGACGUGGCUGAAUCGUGGCCCUUGGGGUUCAUUAAAGCUUCAACUAAUCCUAGCCGUCCAUUUGAAUUUUUGUUAUUCUUUUAUUUUUUGUUAUUGCUCUUCUUCAUUUCUAAUCCAGCUCCAACCUUAAUGUUGAUCAUAACAUACUCGCCCUCUUAAAACAAUCUUUGUCUCAAGGAUUGGAAUAAAAAUUUGGAAACCUUGCCUUAAUGUAGUGAUAAUCCUCCCACGUAGCAUCUUCUGGAGGGAGAUUUGACCACUGUAUCAGAACUCUUACUGCAACAGAAUUGUCCCUCUUAAUAAGCUGCCUUUGCAAAAUUGCCACUGGUUUCACCAAGAACUUACCAUCCUCUCCAGUCAUUAGUGGAUUGUUAUGCACUACUACUCUAUCUCCCACCUUCUUUUUGAGUAGAGAUACAUGAAACACAGGGUGAACCUUAGAUUCGGGUGGAAGAUCCAGUUUGUAAGCCACUUUGCCAAUCCUUGCCAAGAUCUUGUAGGGACUAUAGUAUUUUGAGCUCAACUUCAAAUUUCUCCUAAAUGAUAAGGAUGUCUUCCCAUAAGGUUGCAAUUUCAAAUACACAAAACUUGAAAUUCUGUGUCUGUUCUCCUUUUAUCAGCAUAGUAUUUCAUCCUUUCUUGAGCUUUAGAGAGGUUGUCCUUCAAGAGUUGCUGCAUUUAUUGUUUAUGCAUUACUGUGUCUUCAGCAGCUAGUACCACAGUUUCCAAUAAGGGGCCUAGUGACACUUGUGGGUGUGAGAAUCCGUUGAGUGCUUCAAAAGGGGUGCACUGUAAGCUGGUGUGGAAAUUGGUGUUGUUCCACCAUUCUGCAACAAACAACCAAUGUUUCCCCUAUAUUGGCCUAUUAGCAGUCAUACACCUUAGAUAGUUCUCUAGACACUUGUUGACCCAUUUAGUUUGGCCAUCACUUUGAGGGUGAUAGGCAGAGCUAUAGUGCAACUGAUCCCCUAGGAGUUUGAAUAGGGCUUGCAAAAAGUGGCUUAAGAACACAUUGGCUCUGUCUGUCACUAUAGAUUUUGGGAUCCCAUGUGAGCAAUGUAUCUUCUUCCAAAACACUUCAGCUACAGAUACAUCUAUGCAAGGGUGAACAAGUGCUAUAAAAUGUGCAUACUUCGUUAAUCUAUCCACAACCACAAGGAUAACUCUUGGAGUUGGGCAGCCCUUCUAUAAAAUCCAUGCUAAUGUGGCUCCAGGUCUAGUUAGGAAUUGGCAGGGGUUGCAGUAACCCAGGGUAGGCCAUGUUGUCAUCUUUGCUUUUGAGGCCUACAUCACAGCUAGCCACAUGAUCAAUAACCAUUUGUUUCACCCCUAGCCAAUAAAAUAUUUGUGAUAGUCUUAUUAGAGUUUCCAACUGACCUGAGUGUCCACCUAUAGGAGAGUCAUGAAAGGUUAAUAUCAACUGAGUUCCGAGCCCACUAUUAGUACUAAUGUAAAUUUUCCCCUUUUUCCUAAGUAUGAUGGCAGUGUUGAGCCAUAUGUUGGGUCCUUGUUGAGUCACAUCCAUUUGGCUAAUGAUUUCUAUAGCUUUAGGGUUCCCUUCAUAGUUGUGCGUGAUUUCCUGCACCCAUGCAGAAACUAAGACACGGAAUUGGUUCCUUGGAACUUCAGACCCUUCCUACUGUCUAGAAAGGGCAUCAAUAACCCUACUUUUCAGCUCCCUUCUUGUACUGCACCUCAUAGUCCAACCCAAGCAAUUUGUUAGUCCCUUUUUUUGCUGUAUAGCAGUAGUCACCCUUUGUUCUAAGAGGUAUUUAAGGAUGUGAUGGUCAGUUCUCACCACAAAAUGUUUGUAUUGUAAGUAAUGUCUCCACUUUUUCACUGCAUUUAGCAGAGCCAUAUUAGGGAUAAGACCUUGCUAAAAUAAGUUAUUGACCUACCUCCAUGCAUCAGUACAACCCCAAUGCCCAUUUGGCUAGCAUCAGUCUCCAUUAUGAAUUCCUUGUUGUAGUCAGGUAGUGCCAACACAGGUGUAGAAGUCAUAGCUUUCUUCAAUCUCUCAAAUGCUAAACCUGCCUCCUCAUUCUAUUUAAAGGCUUCCUUUCUUAAUAAGUCAGUCAAGGGUCUGCAAAUGGUGUCAUAAUUGGCAACAUACUUCCUGUAAUACCCAGUCAAUCCCAAGAACCCUCUCAAAGUUUUCACAGAGUUGGGCUUAGGCCAUUCGACCAUGGCCUUGAUUUUGGAAGGAUCAGUUGAUACUCAUUCUAUAGUUAUAAUAUGCCCCAAAUAUUCAACUUUGGACUGACCAAAGGAACACUUGGAUCUUUUAGAAAAUAAGGAAUGUUUCCUUAAGGUGUCAAAUACUGCACCCAAAUGAGCUAUAUGUUCCCUCUCAGAUAGGUUGUAUAUUAAUAUGUCAUCAAAGAAUACUAACACAAAUUUUCAAAGGAAAGGUUGAAAAACAUUGUUCGUCAAAGCCUAAAAAUUGGAUGGGGUAUUGGUUAACCCAAAUGGCAUCGCCUUGAACUCAUAGUGGCCCAUGUGAGUUCUGAAAGCAGUCUUGUACACAUCUUCCACCUUCAUUCUAAUCUGGUGAUAACCAUCCCUUAAGUCCACUUUGGAAAACAUUACAGACCCACUCAGGUCAUCUAAUAGAUCAUCCACAAUAGGUAUGGGAUAUUUAUCCUUUAUUGUAAUGUCAUUAAGCCCUCUAUAGUCUACACAGAAUCUCCAAGAACCAUCUUUAUUCUUGACAAGUAAGGCUGGUGAAGAGAAAGGUGAUUAACUAUUUUGUAUGAUGCCAUUAGUAAACAUAUCUUUAACCUGCCUUUCUAAUUCUUCCUUCUGGUAAUAAUUGUAUCUAUAGGGCCUCAAAAUGACUGGCAUAACUCCAGGUUUUAAAGGUAUGGUGUGAUCUAAUGUUCUGAUAGAAGGCAAGGUCUUUGGGUCAAGAAAUAUAUCUGAAUAAUGUUGCAGUACCCCAUCAAUGGCCUCCCCAAUUGGUUCUUGCUCUUCUGCCUUAACAUCACUCAUCAUGAAGAAGUGAGCUAUUAGAACCUGACCAUUCCUUAACAUUUUGCUCAUGGUUCCGCUAGUGAUCAUAGUCAGUUUCUCUUCCUUAAUAAUGCCCUGCAAUACCAUCUUGUUACCCUUCUUACCAAUGGUAACACACAUCUUUUCAUGAUCAAAUUUAGUUGGGUUAUGCUUCUUCAUCCAAUCAUUCACCAUAACCAUGUCACAACCUCCAAGUGGAAUAAUUAGUAGGUUCUCUUGGAAUGGUCUACCUUGCAUUUUCCAUUGGUGGUUCAUGCAAAUUGUAGUGCACAUAACAUAGUUUCCAUCAGCAAUUGUCACUCUCACAGGUGGCAAGGCUGCGUUUGGUACCUUGAUUCCUUGACUAUGGUGGCAUCGACGAAAGUGUGAGUACUCCCAGAAUCAAUCAAUAAUGUGAGUUUCCUAUUGCCUGUAGUCCCACGCACUAGUAUGGUAUUAACCUAUUUGUUAUCACAUGAUAGGGCAUUCAAACAUACUGCCUUAAUAACUUCUUGUUCCAGUUCUCCUUUAAUUAUCAGCCCUGCAGAGUUCAGUUCUUCUUCUAUCUCACCAGUUUCAGUAAGAACUUCUAUUGUCCUUAUCAUACUACAACUGCUUCUUUUCGCAUUGGUGGACUUGGGCAUACUUCUCACGACAUCUGUAACACAAGCGGUUGCUCUUCCUAUACUCAUAAAUCUCAGGCCUAAAUGAAUUUGGCUUAACUGCAGUUGCAACUAGUGCCUUGGCAUUACUAAAGUUGCCAGUGAUCUGAGAGGAUUUGGUAACUACUUUUGUACGCUUGACAGCAACCUCUAUGGCCUUCUCCUGUAACCUAGCUUGUUCCACUGCAAAUUGUAAAAUUGUAGGUUUGAAUAGCUUCACCCAAAAUCUAAUCUCUUCCUUCAGAGCCCCAAUGGAACUGGAUAUAAAGUGUGACUCAUCUAAGUUAGGAUUCCUGAUCAACAUCUGGGCCUUCAAAUCCUCAAACUUACCCAAUAAUUCAUCCACAGUCCCAGUCUAACUUAGCUUGUUGAAUUCCUCUACUAUGUCUCCCAUUAAUUCCUCCCCAAAUCCGACCAGUAAUUCUUCUUUGAAUUCAGCCCAGCUUACUUCACCUUUACUUAGAACUAAGGAGUCGUACCAUGUAUCUGCCAACCCAUUCAAAUAAGGAGCAAAUGAUUCCACCUUCAAGUUAUCUUAGGUUCUAUAUAAGUUGAAGUACCUUUCACACUUCCUAAUCCACCCUUUUGGCUCAUAACCUUUAAAGUAAGGUAGCUCCCAUUUAGGUGCAGGAGCUUGUGCUGCUGGAGGUCGAUACUGUCUUAUUUCCUGACCUGGCAUAGGUAGUAAUCCAUCACCUUGAGGCUUCUCCCCUUGUGCUCUUUGUGGAACUCUCUCCAAGUUAAUUAGUCCUUCAAGUAUCAGUUCUAGUGUACCCUGUAUACCAUCUUGAGUAUUGCGGAGUUCCUCCUGAGUGGUCAUAACCUCAUUUAGAACCUCCUCGUGUCUGACUAGUUUAUCAUCCAUAACCUUCAGUCUAGUUCCUUCAACCGUCACCACCUCAUUGUCACAAAUUGAGGCUCUGAUACCGAUUGUAAUGAACUCAAAUAGAAUUAAGAAAAUCAAAAUACAAAAAUGAAAAUAGAUUAUUUUUUGGGGACAAUUUUCUGAUAUAUUGAUAAAAGAAAACUAACUAUUACAACGGAAUGAGAAAUGACUAUUUCUAACUAGACUCUAUAGCUGCAGAACCUGAAGAGAAGAAGAGAUUGUUAGGAAGAAGAAGAAGAGAGUGAGGAAAGAGAAGAGAGAAUCGAGGAAAAAAGAAGAAUUACUUUUGUUGAAUGAUGCCUCCUUCUCUCUGAUGCAGUUGGUUAUAACAACAAACAGUCGGCGUGGCAGAAUCGUGGCCCUUGGGGUUCAUUAAAGCUUCAACCAAUCUUAGCCAUCCAUUUGAAUUUCUGUUAUUCCUCCUUAUAUUCUGUUAUUGCUCUUUUUCACUUGGAAUGCAGCUGCAACCUUAAUGUUAGAUCAUAACACUAACCCAUGCUAUUUUCCCUCAAAUAUGAGCUCGUUCAGUGAUCACUUCAGUCUAAAUUAUGAGCGCUUGACUAUUGAUCCAUCUCCUAAGGAACAAAUGCCUUCUAGCAUAUUGAAUUUCUCAAUUCUAGUACUGUUCUGUUCCACUUUAUAGGGAGUGAAGUGAAGUUGUUUCCAAAAUAAAUGCUCCUUUAUUAGGAAUGUUGUGAAGUAGUUUACUGUGGUUUUUAGUUGAUUUUGCUUAUAAUACUGGUCAAACCUCUAGAUGAUCCUCGAAUGAUGAACGAGCAAGAAGAAAUUCAAAAAUAGCCAAAUUUAAAAUUGAUCAUUCAAAUAUAGCCACAAUUUCAAAAGUAACCAAAUUUUAACCAAUUUUCAUGUAAAAAUAAACCUGAACAAAAAUACUAUUCAAAAUCCGAAAAAUACUCCAAUAUAAUAUACUGAAAUACCAAAACUCCGAUAUACGUAUGAUGGACUUCCUGCAUAAUGUGCUUGAGUUCCAGCAUCAUAUACCGGUCCAGAAAUUCAUACACUGGUGCUCAAAUCUACCGUAUAUUAUGCUGGAACUUUUCUUGUUGAAGCCAAAUAGUAAUUAUUUCUAAAUGACUUUGCAAACACUGGUUAUUUUUGAAUGAUCAAUUCGAAAACUGACUAUCCCAUGCUAUUUUUAUGUAUAAGAAGAGAGACUCGAAUCAUGAAAUGAAUAAACUAUGCUGCUUUUGUAAAACAAAACUCAGCAAAUUAUUUUACCAAAUUAAUUUUAGAAUUUUUUUUUAAAAAGUUAGUCAUGAUAACAUCAGCAAAGAUGUUCCUAGACUCGAGCACCAUACAAAGGUCUCAAAUUAACAUCCAGCUCUAAAAUCUUUCAGAUUAAGUCUAAUUCAAAUAUUUCUAAUCUACAACUAUUUCCAGAAAGACCAACAAAAAGAAUGCAAAUACACCAAGUAAAAGAUGAGGCUCAGAUUUUUGCAUAUUCAAUCACAGGAAAGAGCAGAGUUUACACUGCCAUGCCGCAAAUACUGGUUGCCCUAUGAGAAAGACACUCCAGCAGGACAAAAGAUCAUUCACAAACGGAGUUUUGAUGUACAAUACAUUCCAUAUUUCGACAUAUGAUUGAUCUCAUGAUCAUCACCCAGUGGAUGCUGCAGCAAUUGCAAAAUAUUCAUUACAAAAUUUGUCAACAGACAUAUCAUCCAUAUUAAUCAACACUAUUGGGUGAGAAAAGGAAAGAUCAUGCUGCAAUUGACAGCAAAUAACAUUCAAGAACAAAGCAAUAGCUCUGAACUUCAGUAGCGAAAGAAUCAGAGAAUUGCACUUUUGAGGCCUCGUGAAAUAGUCAAGCUGAGGGCCGUCUGAGGCAAUGCGACAUAUGACAUGCGCUCCCAUAAGGAUGUCCAACAUAAGCUGGUUUUUCCUUGUAUUUGCGGAUGCCUAUAAACUGCCAUUCUAGCUAUAAUUGAAUUACUAGGCAUUAAAUAGUACUGAUUAACGAUAUUGUAGCUGCACAAAUUUACUCAGUGACAUGCUUCGGGAUAGCAGUUCAGUUACAGAAGACGUAAGCCAAAAUUUCAGCACAACAUUGACUUAUUAAUCAUAAAGUAGUACUACAAUAUUAUUCAGUUUGAAGAUAUUCCAAGAUGCAGUUCAAAGUUUUGGCCAAAUUGACCUUAAAUAAAAACACAAGCAAAUUGGAGAUGGUAAAAUUUAUUACCUUUUCAUGCGGGCAGAUCUAAUUACCAUCAACCCAAUCAAGACCGAAUUUUAAGUCCGAAGGAGAAAACUCAAGCUCCUCAUCCAGAUCGAUGAAAGCCACUAGAACUGGCAAUAAAACAAAUGCUUGUACUCAACGCAGAAACCCCUUUCCCUUUAGGAUUUAAAGUUGGAAGCCGGAGCUGUUGAUUUCCAUGGCUAAAUCUAUUUCCAGAAAGACUAGUAAAAAAAUUGUAAAUAAACUACGUUAAGAAUGAGGCUCAGAUUUUCGCCUAUUUAAUCAAAAAAAGAAAAGGAAAAAAGAACAGAGCUAACACUGCCAUGGCUGCACAAUCUACGGUUGCCUUAUAAGAAAGACCUUCCGAUUGGGCUCACCAAGUCAGGCCAAGAAUCAACUCUAAUCUUCUUCACUUUUCAUUUUCAAUUGUAUAUAAUCUUCACUGCCUCUGCAACUUCAAGUAUUCAAGGUUGAAACAAAGGCAUGAAAGUUUGAAUAUAACGUAGAUAACUGCAGCAACAACUAGCUUCAAUAUCAAACUGGUUAAAGAUGGUAUGAAUCCUCAAUAUUCACUUCCUUUCUCUUUCGACUUGUUUCAUAUCUUUUGAAAUGAGGAUCUUCCUGAUAUUAUGAAAAGAACACGAACGUACAAAGAAUGAAAGAAAAAAGCUCAGUUUGCAUAAAGAUCUAUCGGAAAAAAGGGCUAAUCCGCCAUGGCUGAAAAAGGCAGAUGCCUUUCUGGGAGAGCACAUAAAGAACCAACCUCAGAAAUUCCCAUGCCUUUGCUCAGCCAAUCUGGUCUUGAAGCUUCCUGGAGAAUAUCAUCACAGCCUCAUUCACAAAGUUUAGAGUUUAGGAUUCUGAGUAUUCCCCAACAAGUUUAGCGGGGCAAAAUAUGUAUUUUCUCUUGAAGGGCUGUUAAACUUUCUCUUUAUAACGAAACUACAGGAAAACUCAUUAGCUAAAUUGAACUUCAGAGAAAGAGAGUACCCACCCUUAAAAAAUCUCAACCUUCCUCCAAGUUCCAUAAAAAUCCUCGUUCUUAACACAAAGAUAUUUGGGAGGCUCAGAUUGACCUUUUCUCAGAGAUAAGUUAAACCCCACCGUGGCUGCCAGCUUAAAAAGCCAUUGCAAGACACAGAAACAAAAAAAUAGCUUCAAUAUCCACAAGACCACCAAAGAGAUGCCCACCAAAGAUAUAGCAAACCUCAGCUCAACCAUCUGAUGAGUAAAGAAUGAAAAUCUUCACUGCCUAAGUGAACUUAUUUUGCUAAAGAGUAGUUUGAAAUUGGGAAAUUUUGAGUGGAUCAUUGGCCGCUAAGAAUGACAGAGGCGCAACCACCCACAAAACUCCCCGCAACUCUCUCAAUCCAGCAGCCUCAAUCAUAAACUAAUGAAACUUUUGCCAUUUUUGUUUCAUCUUUUGCUUCAUCUAUUUGCUGAAACAGUUUCCUCCAUGUCAAAUACAGCCAAAGUAAAAUAUAAGGGACAAUUGAGGCUCAGAUCUUAUUCAUGUCAUGCAAAGAAAGUCCAGCCACACCAUGGCUGCAAUACCCCCAGUUGCAUGUAAGAAAAUACAUGCAUCUGUGACAUUGCCCAGCCAAGCUACAUGCCUGUUACUCUCAGUGCCCAAUUACUAGCUCAGAAGGAUAGAUUGAAAGAUCAUCACUGCCUCGAUAAGGGACCAUUUUGGAUGGAUAUAUAUAUAUUACCCUCCCCAAACCCCACUUUGUGGGACUAUACUGGGUAGUUGUUGUUGUUGUAUAUAUAUAUAUAUAUAUAUAUAUAUAUAUAUAUAUAAGCAUUAAAAAAACUUGGCCAAACACCAAUUAUUUCUCAAAANNNNNNNNNNNNNNNNNNNNNNNNNNNNNNNNNNNNNNNNNNNNNNNNNNNUGUUGUUGUUGUAUAUAUAUAUAUAUAUAUAUAUAUAUAUAUAUAUUAUAUACAGACAAUAUGCAUGAGCAUCAUGUACAUAAGAGGCUCAGAUUUCAGCUGAAUCAGGUAGUGGAUUUAAUCAGAAACCGCCACUGGUGCAACCUUCCCACAUUACCCCGCCAAGAUAUGGCUGUCAUCAUCUCAACGCCUAACCCAAAUUGCUCAAAAAAGAAAAAGGCAUUACAAUCACAGCAUAAAUUCUCCCUGUCCUUGCAUUGAUCUCUUGCUGUUUGGUUCAUAAAACAGCCCAAUGGCACCAAGAAUAGGAGAAAAGAUCUGAUAAACUUAACAGGUGCUUCAGUGUCUUCUUUUAGUCUAAGGGUUUUAGACUAAAACUGUUCACCUUUUCCAAACAUAGAGGACCAUUUAUGUUGCCGUAUAUAUCAAGGACCAAAAUAGUCAGAUCCCGAUACAUUAAGGACCACUCAGAUUUUUUCUCUCAAUAUAACAAGGCUCAGGUUUAAAUUUAUCAGGCAUUGAGUUAAUCAGAAACAGCCAUUGCUGCAGCCUGCAACCUCUCCAGGCUACCCCGCCAAGAUAUGGCUCUUACCAUCUCAAUGCCCAAACCAAAUUGCUCGAAGCAACAUUAUAAUCACAGCCUUAAACUCUCCCUGUUCUUAAAUUGAUUUCUUGUUGUUUGGUUGAUAAGAACAAAGGAAACAGAAGAAAAUGCAGCAGCAGCAGCAACAACAACAAGAACAUGCCUCAUUCUUUGAGACGAUAUUAAGAAGAAAAUGACAUGGGUUUCCACCAAAAGAGGACCUAAAUUUGCAUCCAGAAUGUCCUGAAGGACUAGUUGGAAAUUGAGGCUCAGAUCAGCAAAAAGAAUGGGGCAAACAGAAGACGACAAUGUCAUGGCUGCAAAAGAGCUGGUUGCCCGUGAAAGAAAAGACUUCAAACCAUCCAGGUUUGCCAUGCUAAGAUCCAUGUUGAUCGGACUCUCCGAAAAUGUCACCGGGUGCGUGUCGGAUCUUCCAAAAGUAGUGUAUUUUUGGAGGAUCCGACAUGGGUGCGGCAACAUUUUGGAGAGUCCGCACAACAUAGGCCAAGAUACAAGUUGUAUUAUCAAAUAUGCGCCGAAAAUCGGACCAGAGAAUCAAUAUCAUCACUGCCUCUUUCCAAAAACGGGAACUUUUUAAUAAGAGCAUGUUUGGAGAAUUUCAAAAAUUUCUUAAAACAAGUGGAAAUUUCAGAUCUGUGGAUGUUUUGGACCAAAAACAUUUGGUCUAAGCUAGCUCAGAAAUAUCAGAACAUUGAAUAGUACUACUGUUAUCAGCAUCACAUUUGCAGAGGGUUGUUGGUUUGGUUGAUGGAGAAAUCAUAGGCCAAACCAGGGGGGCACCACCCUCCAAGGAAUUCCCUUCUCUCCCUGUUGGCCUCAUUCUUCAUACUGGGCUGAGCCUCAUUAAUCUGUAGACUGUAAGAUGCUAUCACUUUUAUAAGACUUCGUCUUUCUUCAAAUAGGAGUCCUAAAACCGUUAUAUGUGCACUUCGCCGACGUACAUACUCUAAAAGGACUGUUGGUUAGAGAAAAGGAGAAAUCAUUGGCAUAUCGGAGAUGGUCAACCACCCUUAUACAAAUCCUCAAAAAAAGACGGUUGGUUAGAGAAAAGGAGAAAUCAUUGGCAUAUCGGAGAUGGUCAACCACCCUUAGACAAAUCCUCAUUUUUCUCUGUUGCCUCAUUUUUUAUGAGCUAAAAUGAAAUGGUUUCCAAUUUGGUUCAAAUCCUGCAAAUUCCACAAUGACUCGUCGGCAGUUCAGGCUCAGAUAUGUGUAAAAUGGGGGCAAAGAGAAGAUGACAACGCCAUGGCUGCAAAACCAGUUGCCUGAUCCGGGUUUGCCCGCCAAGAUACAAGUCUGUUUUUUUCCAUGCCCCAAAUUUCAGCCCAGAUUAGCAAAUAUCAAAACUGCCUCUCUGGAAAGAUAGAAACUUUUCCAUAGCAAUUUGGAUAGUUUCAAGGCACAUAAAUUGGAAUAGAGGGAGUACUACUACUGCUGCUAUCAGCGUUGCAUCACAGAAACUUUUCCAUAGCAAUUUGGACAGUUUGAAGGCACAUAAAUUGGAACAGAGGGAGUACUACUACUGCUGCUAUCAAUGUUGCAUCAAUGGCACAGAGAUUUGCCUUCUUUUGUGGGAAAAUUUCACAAAUAUACCAAUAACAACAACAACAAACCCAGUGGAAUCCCACAAGCGGAGUUUGGGGAGGGUAGUGUGUACACACACUUUACCUACCAUGUGGCGGUAGAGAGGCUGUUUUCGAUAGACCCUCGACUCAAAGCAACAGCAAUAAAAACAACAAGGUUAUUGAAGCUCAGAUACUGCAUUUCAGAAAUUUGAGGCUCAGAUACUGCAUUUUGCUGGGACAAAGUGAACGCAACUACGCCAUGGCUGCAAAAUACCAGUUGCAUGCACAACAAGGGAAUUGCCAGGCCAAGAUACGGAUUGUCCACCAUGUCCAAUUUGUUUAGCCCAGAAAGGGAAAGAAUAUUAUCAUCACUGCCUCUUUUGUAAAAUUAUUCCAAAGGAGGAAAAAGAAACACACAUACACAGAGGUCCAUGGCCUAAGCUGUACACUGAAAAAGCAUAUGAUGUUACUCUGCAUUUCAUGAACACGGGCUGUUGGUUUAGUAGCUACAGAAAAUCAUUGGCAUAACAGAGAAGGGCAACCACAGAAAAUCCCUUCACUCUGUUAGUCUCAUUUCUCUUUCCGGGCCAACUUUUUUUAGGAAAAUUCUCGACUCUCACCUGAUUCUGAACUUUCUUCUUCUCAGAGUUGUACACUAGUAACCAAAUACUGAUGUUUUCCAUCAUACCAAAGACGCCCUUUUAAAAUAACAAUACAAUACACGGGGUAACAACCAUCCAAACAAGCUAUAAGAGUAAAAUGGAGGCUCAGAUCUGUUGAUAAGACAAGAGAAUGAAGACAUCGCCAUGACUGCAAACACCGGUUGCAUGACACAAAGAUCACUUGUCAUCCGGUUUGCCCUACCAAGAUACGGGUCCCCUUUACUUCUCUUGACCAAUUGAUUAGCUCAUGAAAAAAGAGAAGACAGUAUCAUCACAGCCUCAAAAUUCUCUCUUUUGCUUAAAAAGCUAUGUAAUUUCACAAAUAUACCAACAGGAAAAAGAAAAAAAAGGAAGAGGGUUGAUGGUUUGUUUGGUGGGGAAAUCAUAGGCCAGGCAGAGAGGGCAACCACCCUCGAAGAGAUCCAUUUUCUCUCUGUUGGACUCAUUCUUCCUUCUGGGCCAAUUCUCACUGCUGUGCAAAAGACUCCCAGAAAGAAGCAAUCAUCAUAGCCCACUUCAGGUGAUCUGUGAGGGAGAUUUGCACAUAUAUGAUCAUUAUUAAACACCUGCUCUCAAAAGGGACAUCAGGUGAAAUUUUCUGGAUCUAUGAAGAUCAGCAUCAGUCGUGGAUUCCAAAUACAAAUCCAUUGUAGAGAGUUUUGGAGAAGUUAAUUUCUUGUAUUGCUCACCAAGGUAUAUAUAGAGUACAGGGAAAUCAAAACCUAAAAAGUGGAUAUUUGAGUAAAUCAGCAGAAGCAGAGAAAAGAAGAGCAAAGCCCUUUUUAGAGAAGAACAUACUCAAGGGGUGUCAUUGGAAUGGUUUAUCAUAUUCCUUUUCUUGUUCUUUUUUUCUCAAAGGGCUGUUGGUUUUAUGAAUGGAGAAAUCACGGGACAUAGCAGAGAGGGGUAAGCACCUUUGUGCUGAUUUGCCUUAAGAACAAGAGCAGAGUAGUCGCAGAUAGAUAAAGAGACAGAAGAGACAUACAAUACAUGUAUAUAUACACACACACACAUCAUAGAUAUGCAAAAAGGGCUGUUGAUUAUAGCCACAAAAAAAAUCAUAGGCAUGCUGGAGACGGUCAACCACCCUGAAAAAUCCAAUUUUUUCUCCGAUUGCCUCAUUUAUUAGCUAAAAUUUUGACGGAGAACUGUAUCUGAAAUGGAUGUUCAUGAAAAACUGAAGAACCCAAUUUGGUUUCAGUUCCAGAGAACGGCCGUCCAAUUCAAGAUCAUCAAAUGGUUGCCCUAAACGUUUUAGGGCCUAGAAUUUGCUUUUCUAUGAACAAGCAAAGAGACAGAAACACACAUCAUGGCUGCAGACACCGGUGUGCAAAUGAUGCCAUACCAGGUCGCCCUGCCAAGAUACCAGUCAGAUCUUCUCAGCACAGUAAGGUGGGGGAAGUGCACAGAUAGCCAUUUUCAGGAUCCCUAUUUAAAGACUGGAAAUUGAGGCUCAGAUAUGUGGAAAAUGGGGGAAAGAGAAGACGACAACGCCAUGGCUGCAAAAUGAACCGGUAGCAUGAUCUGAGUUUGCCCCGCCAAGAUUCGGGUUUUCUCCAUUUCCCGAAUAAUAACCAGCUUAGCAAUCUCAUCACUGCUUCUUCAGAAAGAUGAAAACUUUGGCAUAGCAAUUUGUGGACAGUUUCAGGACACAUAAAUGAACGGAGAGAAUACUAUUGCUAUCAGCAUCACAUCAAUGGCAACUGAUAUUUUCUUCUCUUUUGGUCAACUAAACCGAACCAUGAACACCCCUAAGUAUACCAAUUGAAAAAAAAAAGAGAGAAAAAAGAAGAGGGUUGUUGGUUUGGUUUAUGCAGAAAUCAUAGGCCAAACAGAGAGGGCAACCACCCUCCAAGAAAUCCUUUUCUCUCUGUUGGCCUCAUUCUUCUUUCUGGACCAACUCUCAUCUCAUUUUGCUCAUUAGAGAUGAUUUGGAUGAAAGAUUUUGAGGCUCAGAUCUGUGACUUAACUCGGGCACUGAGAUAUUUGACACUGCCAUGGCUGCAAACCUUAUAUGGAUUGCCCCACCAAGAUACGGGCCUGAAACAACAAUGCCUGAUGCCAUUUGCUUAGCAAAAUUAUCAUCACAGCCCCAUUAUUUUCCCUUUUCCAUUUCAAGUUGUAUGCUUUUGCGGUUGUUUUCCAUGGAAACACAGCUGCAGCCUCUGAGGAACAGACUGUAACAGUAACAGAAAACAGAGGGAAAAUGAUCAAAAUGAUCCAAAUGAUCCUUAAUAUAUGGGGGUUGGAUACACAAACACAUGCAUAAGCAAAAAGAGUUCUUGGCUAGAGCUAAAAGAAAAUAGAAAUCACAGGCACGCCAGAGAUGGUCAACCACCCUGAAAAAUCCCCAUUUUUCUCCAACCGCCUCGUUCGUUGAGCUAAAAAAAAUUGAUAGAGAACUGCAUUUGACAAGAGGGGUUGCUCUGAUGGUAAGCAACCCCACUUCCAACUGAGAGGUUGUGAGUUCGNNNNNNNNNNNNNNNNNNNNNNNNNNNNNNNNNNNNNNNNNNNNNNNNNNNNNNNNNNNNNNNNNNNNNNNNNNNNNNNNNNNNNNNNNNNNNNNNNNNNNNNNNNNNNNNNNNNNNNNNNNNNNNNNNNNNNNNNNNNNNNNNNNNNAAGUUCUUGGAGGGAAGGAUGCCGGGGGUCUAUUUGGAAACAGCCUCUCUACCCAAGGGUAGGGGUAAGAUCUGCGUACACACUACCCUCCCCAGACGCCACUAAGUGUGAUUAUACUGGGUUGUUGUUGUUGUUGUUGUAACUGCAUCUGAAAUGGGGUGCGUUAGAGAAAAACUGAAGAACCCGAGUGGGUUUCCAGUUCCCGAAAACGACCAUCCAUUUAAGACCAUCAAAGGUUGCCAUAGCUUUUGGGACAGAUAUUUUUUUGUAUAUGAAUAUGCCUAGAGAAAGCGACUCAUGCCAUGACUGCGGACACCAGUUUGCAAAUGAUGCCAUACUGGGUUGCCCCGCCAAGAUACAGGUCGGAUUUUAUUUAAUGCUGUGAGUAGAUAGCUCAGAAAGAAGCAAUCAUCACAGCAUAUAUCAGUAUCCAAUUUGUGCAAAUCAGUUGUGGCCUUUUAAAUACAAGGCCAUAAGAGUGGCUAUCUGUGUAAAUCAGUAGUGAUCGCAGCAGAAGCGGAGUAAGUGGCUAUUUCCUUGUUUCCUUUUUUAUUUCAAGGGUUGUUGGUUUCAUGAAUGGAGAAAUCAUGGUCAUAGCAGAGAGGGACAACCACCCUUCACAGAAAAUCCCAUUUCUCUCUGAUAUCUCAUUCUUCCUUUCUGGGCUAAACUUAUAACAAGUGUUUCGCCCAACCCUCAAUGUUUUAACUUUUCCGAUACCUCAUUCUUAUGAUCUUGAGCUUGAGUUAAAAUUUAAAAGCAGACAUUAAUGGAUCUCAACGACAACCUUAAUUUAUACCACAAUCCAUAGGUCCAUCACUUUUCCUUAUCAAAAAAAUGACAACCUUAAUUGAACAGGGUCUGGUCUAUGGGCUCGUACCACUGUAUCCUUGACUUCUAAUGGAUUCAAAGAACAAGAGUACCCAUUUCGAUUCCCAGAAUUUGAGGCUCAGAACUGCAUUUAUAUCAGGCAAAAAUAAGUCAACCACGCCAUGGCUGCAAAAUUACUGGUUGCAUGCAAAAGAGAGAACCUCAAAGGCUGACAAUCCAGUGAUUUGCCAGGCCAAGAUAUGAGUCAAGUUGUCCAAGUCCCUGAUUCAGCUAGCCCAAAAAGUGAAACAUCAUCAUCACUGCCUCUUCUGUACAAUUGCUCAAGAGGAGGAAAAACAAACACACGUGCUAUGCGCAACACUGACUGACCAUGUCGCUCCUUUUAGACUCAUCUCAUACGAAUAUUACAAAACAUGGUCAUAAAAAGAACGAAAGGAAAGAACCACCCAUUGUAGAACUAAACUCCACACAGAAAAGAGGCUCAGAUUUGCCUAAAAAUCUAUCAGAACAAAGAGGUAAUCCACCAUGGCUGCCAAAAGCUGACGCCUAUGUGAAAAGCACAUAAGAAACUACCUCACAAAGUCCCUGCCUUUGCCUAGCCAAGAAAAGAAUCAGCUAAAAAAUCUGAUUUUCAAGCUUCCGGGAGAACAUCAUCGGAGCCUCAUUCACAAAGUUCAGGGUUAAGGAUUCAGGUUUUCCUGGACAAGUUUAGGAAGCAGAAUAUGUAUUUUCCCUUAUUGACAUAACCAUGGCUAUCGUCGUCGUCACGGUCAUCAACAACAUAAUUGGUAUUAGCUUAUGAAAGGGUUGUUAAUCUUUAUCUUUGUAACAAAAGUACCGGAAAAUUCAUCCGCUAUACUGAACUUCAGAGAAAGAGACUAACCACCCUCAGAAAAUCUCAAUCUUUCUCGACUUCCACCACAAAAGGCCUCAUUCUUAUGCAGAUACUUGAGAAGCGUGGUGGCCCCACAACCCACAGGUCACAUGAUCGAAACCUCGCUUUGAUAUUCAGUAGCAAGUUUUGCUUGCCUCUCUACCUUUAGAAGAUGGGGGUAAGGUCUACAUACACACUAACCCCCCAAACCCCACACUUGUGGGAUUUCACUUGGUUUGUUGUUGUACUUGGGAGGCUCAGACUUUCCUCUUCUCAAGCACAAGCUAAACUCCGCCAUGGCUGCAAGCUUAAUGAGAAGCCUUUGUGAGACACGGAAACAAAAAUAGCUCACAUAUCUCACAAGACCAACCAAAAGCUGCCACGCCAAGAUAUAGCAAAGCUCAACCAACUGAUGAAUAAGGAGUGAAAAUCUUCACUGCCUAGGUGAACUUAAUUUGCUAAAUAUUAGUUUGAAAUUGGGGAACAUUUGACUGAUCACUGGCUGAUAAGAAUAACAGAGAGGGGCAACCACUCAAAUAACUCACCAAAACUCUCUAAAUCCAGCAGCCUCAGACUUAAACUAAUGAGAUUUUUGCCAUUUCGGUAUCGCCUUCCGCUUCAAAUUCCCAAAAUUAUUCAUGUGAAAGGUCUUAUUUGUAGAAAUGACACCAUGGUAGCCACUUCGAGGGCUGCUUCACUGAAUCAAUUUCCUCCAUAUCAAAUACACCCCAAGUAACAUAUAAGUGACAACUGAGGCUCAGAUCUGUAUUUACGCCCAGACAAAGAAAGUCCUGACAUGCCAUGGCUGCAAAUAUCCCCCAGUUGCAUGCAAUUUUUUUACAAAUCACAAGUAUCAGGGUCAUCGCCCUGCCAAGAUGCGGGUCGGGUCUCUCAAUGCUCAAUUAAUAGCUCAGGAUCAUCACUGCCUAGAUAAGGGACCAUUUUGGACAUUUUCUCAUGAUAUGUUUGCAUGUGUAUCUAUGUAUGUAGACAAGAGGGGUUGCUCUGAUGGUAGGCAACCCCCACUUCCAACCGAGAGGUUGUGAGUUNNNNNNNNNNNNNNNNNNNNNNNNNNNNNNNNNNNNNNNNNNNNNNNNNNNNNNNNNNNNNNNNNNNNNNNNNNNNNNNNNNNNNNNNNNNNNNNNNNNNNNNNNNNNNNNNNNNNNNNNNNNNNNNNNNNNNNNNNNNNNNNNNNNNNNNNNNNNNNNNNNNNNNNNNNNNNNNNNNNNNNNNNNNNNNNNNNNNNNNNNNNNNNNNNNNNNNNNNNNNNNNNNNNNNNNNNNNNNNNNNNNNNNNNNNNNNNNNNNNNNNNNNNNNNNNNNNNNNNNNNNNNNNNNNNNNNNNNNNNNNNNNNNNNNNNNNNNNNNNNNNNNNNNNNNNNNNNNNNNNNNNNNNNNNNNNNNNNNNNNNNNNNNNNNNNNNNNNNNNNNNNNNNNNNNNNNNNNNNNNNNNNNNNNNNNNNNNNNNNNNNNNNNNNNNNNNNNNNNNNNNNNNNNNNNNNNNNNNNNNNNNNNNNNNNNNNNNNNNNNNNNNNNNNNNNGCCUCUCUACCCAAGGGUAGGGGUAAGGUCUGCGUACACACUACCCUCCUCAGACCCCACUAAGUGGGAUUAUACUGGGUUGUUGUUGUUGUAUCUAUGUAUGUAAUAUAGAGACAAUAUAAUGUGCAUCAUGUACUUAACGAGGCUCAGACUUCAAUUUACUCGGGCAUAAGGUUUAUCAAAAAUAGCCAUUGCUGCUACCUCUCCGGGUUACCCUGCCAAGAUACAGCUCUUAUCAUUUCAACGCGUAAAUUAAAUUGCUAAAAAAAAAAAGAAUUAUCAUCAUAGCCACAAAUUUUCCUCUUCUUACGUUGAUUUCUUGCUAUUUGGUUAUUAAACACAGCAAUCAACAAAAGAAAAAGAAGAAGAUGCAGCUGCAACAGCAUAGAAAACACGUAUAUUUAAAAAAUAACAUGGGUUUUCACACGACGAUGUCUUGGGUUCAAGUCCUAAAAGUCCACAAAAACUAGUUGAAGAUUGAAGCUCAGGCCUGCAAAAGAAUGGGGUAAAGAGAAGGCGGCAAUGCCAUGGCUGCAAAAGAAACAGUUGCAUGCGACAGAGAAGGCCUCAAUCUCAAACCAUCCGGGUUUACCAUGCCAAGGUAUGGGUCAGACCAUCUCCAUGCCCCCGAACAUCAGCCCAGUAUUAGCAAUAUCAUCACUGCCUCUUUUGAAAAGUUGAAACUUUUCCACAGUAGACACAUCUUGACAAUUCAAACAAUCUUCAAUAAACAAACACUAAGAUCAGAGGAUGUUUGGUUUUACCUCAAGAGAAAUCAGAAACAGUAGUAGUUGUACUUUUGAAGAGGGUUUGUUGGUUUGGUUAAUGGAUAAAUCAUAGGCCAAGCAGAGGGGGCAACCACCCUCAGAAGAAUUCCCUUUUUCUAUCUAUUGGCCUCAUUCUUCAUUCUGGGGUGAACUUCCAUUUUGUGAAGUAAAAGACUCUCUGAUUUAUAAGAGAGAAUUUAACCGAAGAGACCCCUUAAGUCUGCACUUAAGAAACUAAUCCUCCCUCCUCUAUGCUUCGCCUGAAAAAGCAGACAUGCAGAGGCAGAGUAGUCAUAGAUAGAUAGACAGACAAAAAGAAAGAAACAGACAUACAAUACACAUCUAUACACACAAUCAUACAUAAGCAAAAGGGGCUGUUGAUUAGAGCAAAAAAGAUUCACUGGCAUGUUGGAGAUGGUCAACCACCCUGAAAAUCCCCAUUUUCUCCAAUGGCCUCAUUUUUUAGCGAGAAAUUUCAAGGAGAGCAGCAUCUGAAAUGGGGUGUUCAAGGAAAAACUGAAGGACCCAACAGUGUGUUCCGGUCCAGAGAACGGCCAUCCAUUUAAGAGUCAAGACAUCAAAUAGGUGUUCUAUGAAUUACGCAAAGAGAAAGCGACACAUACCAUGACUGCAGACACCGACUAGCAAAUGAUGUCAUACUGGGUUGCCCGAGAUACAGGUCGGAUUUUCUCAAUGCUGUAAAAUAGGGAAAGUGCACAAAUAGCCGCUUUUAGGACCCUAUCUAAAGAGCAAUUGGAAGUUGAGGCUCAGAUCUGCUUGAAAUGGGGCAAAGAGAAGGCGACAACGCCAUGCAAAAGAACCGGUUGCAUGUGAAAGAGAAACCCGAAUCACAAGCCAUCGGGAUUUGCCAUGCCAAGAUACGGGGUGGAUUUUCUCCAUGCCUCAGCCUAGAUUAGUAAUAUCAUUCCUGCCUCUUCUGGAAAAUGUUAACUUUCCAGAAUAGCCUGUUAGGACAACUUCAGCAACAUGCGUUUAAUAGACACAGUUUGGCUCGAGUUCAGGUGGUUUAUGAACCACCCUUAGUCAGGUGUCGAAAUGAAAAUUUCCGGCAAGUUUGAGGGGCCAUCGGUGUAUUCAGCCAUUUCAGAAAGACUUCAAGCUCCGAUAAGUAAUUGAUCUCAGGCAAUGAGUUCUUUGACACUGCCAUGGCUGCAAACCCUAUAAUACGGGCCGCUCCGCCAAGAUACAUAUGAUCAAUAACAAUCAGUCAUCACAGCUCCAUCAUUUUCCUUUUCAAUGUUUCUGCUGUUGCUUUGUCAUAGAUUGCAGCCUGUGAGGAACAUAGCAUAACAGUAACAGAAAACUGAGAGAAAAUAAUCAAAAUAGUCCUCAAUGUAUGGCGUUUGGUUAAACACACACACACAAUUAACAACAGUUGUUUUUUAGAAGUAAAACACACUCCCCAACACACACAUAAUCAACAGUUGUUUUUCAGAACUAAAUUAAACUAGAAAUCAUAGGCAUGCCGGAGAUGGUCAACCACCCUAAAUGAUCCCUUUUCUCCCCAACUGCCUCAUCCUUUUAGCUAGAAGUUUGAUGGGAAUAGCAACAAGGUUACAAGAAAAAUUGAAUAACCCAAAUUGGUUUCACCAACAAGAGAUGCAGGGUUCGAGUCCCCAAAAGUCCAGAUCUUGGUUAGAGUCCCGAGAAGUCCACAUGUACUAGUUGGAAGUUGAGACUCAGAUCUGCGUAAAAUGGGGCAAAGAGAAGACGACAACACGCCAUGGCUGCAAUAGAACCGGUUUGCCCUACCAAGAUACGGGUCGGAUUGUCUUCAACCCCGAUUUAUCAGCCCAGAUUAGCAAUAUCAUCACUGCCUCUUUGGAGAGAUUCGAACUUUUCUUAGUAGGCGUUUGGACAAUUUCAAGCAAUUUUUGACAAACAAAUGCCAAGAUUAGAGGAUAUAUAUCUGGCUUAAGCUCAGAGAGGUCAGAAAACAUGUACUAGUAUUUCUGAAGAGGGUUGUUGGUUUUUUAUUGAUGAAGAAAUCACAGGCCAAACAGAGGGGGCAACCACCCUCCAAGAAUUCCCUUUUCUCUCUGGUGGCAUCAUUCUUCUUACUGGGCUGAACUUCCAUUUUUGUGUAGUAAAACACUAUUAUAAGAGAGAAUCUAAUGGAAGCCUGUAGUCAAGAAAAUAACCCUCCUUUUCUGUGUUUUUUUGCUGCUUUGCUUGAAAAGGCAACCACGUAGGAGCACAGUAUUAACAAAUAGAGAGACAGAUGCAUGCAUACUCAGAAAGGGCUGUUCGUUUGGAGAAACAUAGAAAUCCUUGGCAUGCGGAGAUGGCCAAUCACCCUGAAACCACCACAUUUCUCCAAUUGCCUCAUUUUUUAGCUAAAAACUAGACGGAGAACUGCAUCUGGUAAUUGGGUGUCCAAGAAAAAAACUGAACCCAACAGUGUUUUCCGGUUCAGAGAACGACCAUCCAUUCAAGACCAUCAAAUAGUUGUCAUAAAACAUUUAGGGCUCAGAUUCUUCUUUUUUAUGGAACUGCAAAGAGAAAGGGACAAUGCCAGGCUGCAGACACCGGUUUGCAGAUGAUGCCAUACCGGGUCGCCUCGCCAAGAUACGGGUCAGAUUUUCUCAAAGCUAGUGAACGUGAUAGCCCAAAAAGAAAGAAGCAAAUCAUCAUAGCCCAGUAUUAAAAGUGGCUACCUUGUGUCUCAUUUCUACCUUGUUCCAAAAACAAGGGGUCAUAAAAUUGCUAUUUGUGCAAAUCAGCUGUUGUAGCAGCAGAAAAGAGAUAUAAGCCAAUCCAAACACCCCCAUAGUCCCUUUUCUUUUCUUUUUCCUUCUUUUUUUCUCAUGAAAGGGUUGUUGGUAUUUUAUGAAUGGAGAAUUUAUGGAUACAGCAGAGAGGGGCGACCACCCUUUACAGAAAAUUCCAUCUCUCUCUCUGAUGUCUUGCCACGAACUUGCAGCUAUCAGGGGCAUUUGGGAGGAUCAAUGGGUCACUGGAGGGGACUUCAAUGUUUGUAGAUAUGAAAGCAAAAGAUACAAUUGCGUUAGAAGGUCCAGGGCAAUGAGAUUUUUCUCGGACAUCAUUCAAGACCUUGGCAUCAUAGAUCUACCCCUUCAAGGAGCCAAUUUCACUUGGUUUAGGGGGGAGGAUUCCCUGCAAGCUUCCAGAAUUUAUAGGUUUUUAAUCUCGCCAGAAUGGAAUGACAAUUUCAAAGCAAUCAAACAGUUGGCCCUGCCAAGAGUUGAAUCAGACCACAUGCCUCUCCUGUGGGAAUGGGGUGAUUGGCAAGCAAAUCCCUCCUACUUCAAAUUUGAAAACAUGUGGUUUCAACUUUCAAGCUGACGGCUGAACAAAAUGGAAAAAUGGUGGAACAGUUACUCAAUCAGGGGCAGUCCAGACUUCAUAUUGGUACAAAAUUGAGGAGGCUGAAAAAAGACAUCACAGAAUGGAACAGAGCAACCUUUGGUCAGUUGGAAGCUCAAAGGACCAAGCUCCUGGAAGAGCUAACUAUCCUGGACCAAACAUUUAGAAAACAGACUCUUGACUCAGUCUGAAAAGGAACGAAUAAUGCAAUUAAAGCUCGAGUUAAAAAAACUGGCAAAGGUAGAAGAAGUGUCAUGGAGGCAAAAAUCUAGGUGCUUGUGGCUCAAAGAAGAAGACAGGAACACAAUUUUUCCAAAAGAUGGCCAACUCGCAUAGGAGAAACAAUUGCAUUGAUAAGCUUCUGAUAGGGGCAGAAUUCACUGAAGAUAGCGAUGAAAUCAAAAAUGAAAUCUUAAGAUUCUAUCAAGAUCUGUACACUGAAAAUGAGCAAUGGAGGCCUGCUCUGACCUUCGAAUGUUUGGCCAGCAUAUCACCAGCUGAGAAAGAAUGGCUAGAAAGACCCUUCGAGGAGGAAGAAGUUCUGGCAGCAAUAACAUCUUAUGCUCCAGAUAAAAGCCCAGGUCCUGAUGGAUUCACCAUGGCUUUCUACCAAAAGACCUGGGCUUUCAUCAAAUCUGAAGUUAUGGGGGCUAUUACAUACUUUCAUCAACAUUGCUUCAUGGUUAGAUCAUGUAAUACCUCCUUUAUUGCUCUCAUCCCCAAAAAGAAGGGAGCAAUAGAACUCAAAGAUUUUAGGCCUAUCAGUCUGAUUGAAAGCAUCAACAAAAUUGUUGCCAAAACCCUAGCUGAGAGACUAAAGACAGUUAUUUGGAAGUUGAUUUCUGGAGAGCAAAGUGCAUUCUUGAAGAAUAGACACAUCACAUAUGCCUCACUUGUAGCCAAUGAAAGGCUGGAUGAUAGAUUGAAAAGAGGAAUCCCCGGAAUUCUCUGCAAGCUAGAUGUUGAGAAGGCUUUUGAUAAAGCAAAAUGGUCCUACCUAUUUGCAAUGCUGAGAGCCAUGGGGUUUGGGGAUGGGGUUUGGGGACAGAUGGAUCAGUUGGAUAAAAUACAGCCUUACCACAGUCAAGUACUCAAUACUAGUGAAUAGAUCUCCCGUGGGCUUUUUCUCCCCUCAGAAAGGAAUAAGACAAGGUGAAUGUCACCAUUCUUAUUCAUCCUAGCCAUGGAGGGCUUAAGUAAAAUGCUAAAUAAGGCAAAACAAAUGUAGUGGAUUGAGGGGUCCGGGGUGGGAAACAACAUAGAUACCUCAGUCACAGUCACUCAUUUACUCUAUGCAGAUGAUACCUUAAUAUUUUGUGGAGCUGAGAGAUCUCAGAUGCAAUUCUUGAACUUGACUAUACUUCUGUUCGAAGCAAUCUCAAGGCUGCACAUCAAUAUGUUGAAGAGCAUGAUCUACCCAGUGAACGAGGUCCCUAACUUGGAGGAACGGGCUAACUUAAUGGGUUGCAAUAUAGGCUCACUUCCCACAACUUACUUAGGCCUCCGACUAGGAGCAAAAUACAAGGCAACUGAGAUAUGGAAUUGAAGUAAUAGAGAGAGUGGAGAAAAAAUUGGAAACAUGGAAAAUGCAGUAUCUGUCUAUGGGUGGUAGACUAACUUUAAUCAGCAGUGUUAUAGACAGUAUCCCCACCUACAUUAUGUCCCUCUUCCCUAUGGCAAGUAAGGUGCAGAAACAACUGGAUUUAGGAGAUCAUUCCUAUGGGAAGGAAACAGUGAAGGUCAUAAAUUCCAUUUAGUGAAAUGGCCAAAAGUGUCAUGCUAAAAAACCAAGGUGGUUUGGGAAUCAGAGACUUGACCAAGCACAACAAGAGUCUGCUUAUGAAAUGGUUGGUGGAGGUAUGCUGAAGAAUCAACAUGCACAUGGAAGAAGGUAGUUAAUGCCAAAUAUGGGGUACAAGGUGGUUCACCAAGCAAAAUAGAGCUCCACAUGGAGUUGGCCCAUGGAAGCACAACAACAACCUGCAAGAAGCAUUCUUUCAAGAAGUAUAUUAUAAUUUUGGGAAUGGCAACAGCAUUAAAUUCUGGAAGGAUAGAUUGCUCAACAAUCAACCCCUGAAGGACUCUCAUCCAUAGCUCAGAUUGCCUCUGACCCUAACUCUUCUAUAGCAUAAAAUAGAGAAGGGAACACAUGGGACCUCCACUUCAGAAGAAACAUGCAGGAUUGGGAGCUAUAUCAGCUAUUAGACCUAUACAGAACACUUGAAGAUGCCAGAGGGAAUCCUCAAGUCUCAGACAGCUUAAGGUGGGGAAAACUCUUAAAAAGGAAUCUACAUUGUUAAGGCAGGAUAUAGCAAACUAAGUGCCUCGAAUGAUAUGAUUGAAUCUUGGCCAUGGAAGCUAAUAUGGAAGACAAAGCUACCAACAAUUAAGUGUUUCUCCUGGAAAGCCCUCUAUGAAGCUAUUCUGACCCAGGAUAACCUUUGUAGAAGGAAUUUUCAGCUGGCAAAUAGGUGCCACAUGUGCAGGCUAAACUCUGAGUCGGUCAACCACCUGCUACUCCAUUGCACAGUGGCAUCAGAUCUUUGGAACAUGUUCCUUGCUCUCUUUGGUAUCAGCUGGACAAUUCCUCACACCAUAAGGGAAGCAGUACUUAGUUGGAGCCUAUGGGAAGUUGAUAUAUCCAUCAAGAAGAUCUGGCAAAUGAUCCCGGCAUGUAUUUUUUGGUGUUUAUGGCAGAGAGGAAUCGAAGAUGUUUUGAUGACAUUUCAACCUCCAACGGUCAACUGAAGUCAAAAUGUUUAAUGAGUCUUUUUAGUUGGGAGUAACCUUUCUCCUGUAACUAAUAUUAUUCCCCUCUUAGACUUCAUAGUUCUGUCUCAAUGGUUUAGUGAACCAUUGCUUUUGCUCUUGGUUAACUCAAGGUUCUACAUUUUUUUGUUCCUAUGGAGUUAACCAAGAUUUAUUUUGUAACCUCUUGCAUCUUCUUGAUGCCUUUUAAUACAAAACAUUUUCCUCCAUACCAGAGACACCCUAAAUAACAACAUAUUACACCAGGUACCAACUUUCCAAACAAGCUAUUAAAGAGUAAAUAGAGGCUCAAAACUUUCGAUAAGACAAGAGAAUGAAGACAUUGCCAUGGCCACGAACGCCGGUUGCAUGCACAAAACUCACUUUCCAUCCGGGUUGCCCCGCCAAGAUACGAGUCCCUUUAUUUCUCUUGCUCAUUCAUUUGCUCAGAGAAAGAAGAGAAGAAAGUAUCAUCACAGCGCCAGUUUCUUCUUCUUGUUUUAGGUGAGGAGUUGCAGAGAUGAAUUUAGUACAGCACCAAAACAUAAGGAUCGUUUUGAGUCAAAAAAACUUAAAACAAGAACCAGAGUACGAUUGGUUGGUAGCUAUUUAGGUUAAUUCUUUGAUUUUAAAGGGCUGUUUGAUUUAUUUAUUUUUCAUAUGAGAAGUCACUGGAGUAGCAGAGAGGGGCAACAACCCUUGAAGAAUUCCUCCUCUAUGCAAGCCUCCUCUCUUCUCUUUGAGCUUUGUGACUGCAGAUUGUUUCAAAGUCUUGUCCCUUAAAACACCAUUUUCUACUUUUGCCCUCUAGUUGAUACUUACUUACUGCUUAUUAUGCAAUAGUUUAGCCUCGACAUCCCAGUAAUUGGCAUUUUGCUGAUGAAAGGGCUGUUAAGCUUCCUCGUUCCAACAAAGCUACAGGAAAAUUGAUUAGCUAAAUUGAACUGCAGAGAAAGAGAGUAACCACCUUAAGAAAAUCUCAACCUUUCUCGAGUUCCACAAAAAGCCUCGUUCUUUGAAAACAAACAGAUACUUGGAAGGCUAAGAUUCACCUUUUCUAAGACAUAAGCUAAACCUCGACAUGGCAGUAAGCUUAAGAAGACCAUCAAACGGUUGUAGACUUCAAGGCUCAGAUUUUGCUGUGUAUACGAACCAUGCAAAGAGAAAGUGACACACGCCAUGGCUGCAGACAGUGGUUUGCAAUGAUGCCAUACCGGGUCGCCCCGCCAAGAACCGGGUACGAUUUUCUCAACUGCAUUCACUGAGAACGCAAAGUGCUUUUGGUUUGAAGUCAUGUUACCUGAUAACAAAAGCUACUAAGUGCAAAACAAGGCUUUUUAGCACAGUUUAGGGGUAAAUUUGGACCUUUUUCCUAUACAAAAACGGCUGUUGGUUAGAGCUAAAAGGAAAAAGAAAUCAUUGGCGUGAUGGAGAUGGUCAACCACCCUAAAGAAACCAAUCUUCUAUCCGAAUUGUCUCAAUUUUUUUAGCUAAAGAUUUGAUGGAGAACUGUAUCUGAAAAUUGCUUGUUCAAGAUAAAACUUUUAGGGCUCAGGUUUUGCUGUAUAUACGAGCAUGCAAAGAGAAAGAAACAACGCCAUGGCUACAGACCGAUUUGCAUAUGAUGCCAUACCAGGUCACCCCGCCAAGAUACAGGUCGGAUUUUCUCACUGCCUUGAGUGGAUAGCCCAGAAAGAAGCAAUCAUCAUCAUAGCCCAUUUCAGGUGCUGUGAAGAUCAACAUCAGUUAAGGCCUUCCAAAUGCAGGGCAAUAAAAGCAGCUAUUUGUCGAAAUGAGUUGUUGUAGUUUGUUGUAGUAGCAGAAGCAAAAGCAGAGAAAAGAAGAGCUAGGGGUGGCAAACAGGCGGGUAGGGUCAGAUAUGAGCGGGUCAAAAGGGGUAAUUUUUAAAAACGAAUAAAUUAUCCGACCCGGCCCGUAUUUGAGACGGAUAAAAACGGGUUUAUCCGGUGGAUAAUAUUGAUAUCCAUAUUAUCGAUGCUUCUUAAAUAUGAUCACUUAUGAGAGAAUUCCUAGUCUUCCAAACUUGAGAAACUCCAAUUUGAGGCUUUACAAAUAUAAAAGUUAAACACAUUAGUUAUCCAUUGUUUAUCCAUUUGGUUAACCAUUUUCUAGGUGGAUAAUAUGGUUCUUUAUCCAUAUUCGAUCCGUUUUUAAAUGGUUCAUUAUCCAACCCAUUUUUUGAUGGAUAAUAUGGGUGGAUAACUGUUUUCUUUUAAUCAUUUUGCCACCUCUAGGAAAAGCAUAGCCCCUUUCACAGAAGUAGACACUCAACAGAUGUUGUUUGGAUAUUUUGUUUGUCGCUUUUUUUUUCUCAAAGGGCUGUUGGUUUCAUGAAUGGAGAAAUCAUGGACGUAGCAGAGAGGGGCAACCACCCAUUACUUAAAAUCCCAAAAUCCCAACUCUCUGAUGUCGCUAAAAUUUGGGCCAAACACUAAUAGAUUCAAGAGUACCUGAUUUCAAUUCCCAGAAUUUGAGGCUCAGAUCUGAAUUUAUAUCAGGCAAAGAGAAGGCAACCACGCCAUGGCUGCAAAAUCACCAGUUGCAUGCACAAGAGGGAAUUUGCCAGACCAAGAUACGGGUCGAUUGUCUCAAUUCCCGAUUUUGUUUCAAAUCACUGCCUCUUUUGUAAAAUUACUCAAAAUCAAGAAAAAUAAACAUACACAGGCUAGAAGUAAAAAAAUCAUAGGCUUGAUGGAGAUGGUCAAUCACCCUCAAAAAAUCCCUUUUUUUCUCCAAUUGCCUCAUUUUUUGAACUGCAUCUGAAAUGGGCUGUUCAAGAAAAACUGAAGAACCCAAUUGGGUUUUUAGGGCUCAGAUUUUGCUGUAAUUUUAUGAAAAGGGACCACACUGUGGCUGCAGCACCAGUUUGCAUAUGAUUGCCAUACACGGGUUGCCCCGCCAAGAUACGGGUUGGAUCUUUCUCCACACAUGUAAAAGUAGAUAGCCUAGGAAGAAGCAAAAGAUCAUCAUAGCCCAUUUCAGUAUCCUAUUUCUGCAAAUCAGUUGUCACCUUCGAAAUAUAAGAGGUCAUAAAAUUGGCUAUUUGUGCAAUCAGCUGUUGUAGCAGAAGAAGCAGAAACAUUUUCCUUUUCUUUUCUUUUUUUCUCAAAGGGUUGUUGCUUUAUUGAAUGGAGAAAUCAGGGACAUGGAGAGAGGGGGCAACCAUCCAUUACUGGAAGUCCCAUUUCUCUCUUUGAUGCCUCAUUCUUCCUUUCUAGGCUAAAGCAACUGCUGGUUGAGGCUCAGAUCUGUGUAAAAUGGGGCAAAGAGAGGACGACAACGCCAUGGCUGCAAAAUGAAUCAGUGCACGAUACAGGUUUACCCUGCCAAGAUACGAGUCGGCUCCAUGCCUCAAAUUUCAGCUUGGAUUAGCAAUAUCAUCACUACCUCUUUGGAAAGAUGGAAACUUUUCUAUAGCAAUUUGGACAUAUUCGGUUCACAUAAAUUGGAACGGAAAAAGCAGAUGCCUUUGUGCAAAGCACAUAAGAAACUACCUCACAAACUCCCUGCCUUUGCCUAGCCAAGAAACGAAUCAGCUCAAAAAUCUGAUUUUCAAGCUUCCGGGAGAACAUCAUCAUAGCCUCAUUCACAAAGUUCAGGGUUAAGGAUUCAGGUUUUCCAGGACAAGUUUAGGAAGCAGAAUAUGUAUUUUCCCUUACUGCCAUAACCAUGCCUAUCUAUCUUUACUAGGUAGGGUAAGGUCUGCGCACACACUCCUCCUCAGGUCCCACUUGGUUUGUUGUUUGUUUGCCAUAACCAUGGAUAUCGUUAUCGCCGUCGUCGUCAUCAUCAAGAGCAUAACUGGCAUUAGCUGAUGAAAGGGCUGUUACUCUUUAUCAUUGUAACAAAGGUACUGGAAAAUUCAUCGGCUAUACUGGACUUCAGAGAAAGAGACUAACCACCCUUAGAAAAUGUCAACCUUUCCGACUUCCAUAAAAAAGUCUCAUCUUUGAAAGCAUACAGAUACUUGGGAGGCUCAGAUUAGCCUCUUCUCAGGCAUAAGCUAAACUCUGCCAUGGCUACAAGCUGAAUGAGAAGCCUUUGUGAGACACUUAAACCAAAUAGCUCACAUAUCUCAUAAGACCAACCAAAAGCUGCCACGCCAAGAUAUAGCAAAGCUCAUACAAGCUAAAUGAGAAGCCUUUGUGAGACACGGAAACCAAAUAGCUCACAUAUCUCAUAAGACCAACCAAAAGCUGCCACGCCAAGAUAUAGCAAAGCUCAACCACCUGAUGACUAACGAGUGACUUAUUUUGCUAAAGAGUGGUCUGAAAUUGGGAAAUAUUGAGUGAUUAUUGGCUGCUAAGAAUGACAGAGAAGAGCAACCACUCAAACAACUCCCCACAACUCUCUGAAUCCAGCAGCUUCAGACCUGAACUAAUGAAAUUUUUACCAUUUUCAUUUGACCUUCUGCUUCAUGUUAUAGUUCUCUUGAACCUCCCAAAAAUAUGGACCUCAUUGUAAAGUAAAUGGCCGAACCAAACCAUCGACACCCCUAGUAUGUUAAGAAGGACAAGUGGUAUAGAGGAAGAAUAGUACCCUGCCACAGUACAGAACCAGGUUCGAAAUUUUCCAUCAAAAAAAAUAUGUAUAGAUGCGCACCAUGCAUGCUACAAUCUCUCCAGGUUACCCCGCCAUGGCUGCAACCUCUCCCCGUUACCCCGCCAUGGCUGCAACCUCUCCCCGUUACCCCGCCAUGGCUGCAACCUCUCCCCGUUACCCGCCAUGUAUGUUUCGAUCGAGGCAUUUUCGUGAGUGUAUCAGAAAAUGGUGCUUAGGACAAUGGAAGACCGCCUCCUUAGCGUUAUCAUCACAGCCUUAAAUUCUCCUUGCUGUUACAUUGAUCUGUUGCUGUUUGGUUCAUAAAACAGCCCAACAGUAGCAAUAACAGGAGAAACAGAAGAAAUUCCUGGAGCAACAACGACAACAUGGCUAUAGAAAAAGAUCCAAUUUUUACAUGCAUAUACUACAAUUCUCUCUGAUACCUCAUGUGUUUCACCAAACAAUAGGUCCUGAGUUCGAAUCCUGGAAAGUCCCUCUCUUAUCUAUGCUUUGCCUGAAAACGCAGGAGCAAAGUAGUCACAGAUAAAGAGACAAAAAGAGAUAUACAUACACACACACACACACAUGCCAAAAAUUGCUGUUGAUUAGAGCAAACUAGAAAUCAUAGGCAUGGCGGAAAUUGUCAAGUUCUUCGAUUGCCUCAUUCUUUGAGCUAAAAGAUUUACGGCUCAGAUUUUGCUGUAUACUACGAACAUGCAGAGAGAAAGCAGUCACGCCAUGGCUGCAGACACCGGUUACCCGGUUUGCCCACCAAGAUAUGGGUCGGAUUUUCUCGAAGUAGAACAUUUUGCUAGUUGAGGGGUAAAUUUGGACUUUUUUCCUAUACAAAAAGGGCUGUUGGUCAAAGCUGAUACAAACUAGCAAUCAUAGGCAUGCUGGAGAUGGUCAACCACCCUAAAAAAGAUCCCAAUUUUUUCUCCAAUUGCCUCAUCUUUUAGCUAAAAGAUCCCAGUUUUUUCCCAAUACCCUCGUUUUUUUAAGCUAAACCCCUCCAUUUUUUCUCCAAUUGCCUCACUUUUUUCAGCUAAAAAUCCCGAUUUUUUUCUCCACUUACUUCAUUUUUUAGCUUAAAAAAUCUCAUUUUUCUCCAAUUGCCUCAUUUUUUUUAGCUAAAAAUCUCGAUUUUUUCUCCAAUUACUUCAUUUUUAGCUAAAAAAAUCUCAGUUUUCUCCAAUUGCCUCAUUUUUUGAGCUAAAAAUCCCCUUUUUUUCCAACUGCCUCAACUUUUGAGCUAAAAAAUUGAUUAGAAACUGCACCUGAAAAUUGGGUUUUCAAGAAAAAACUAAAAAACCCAAAAUGGGUAUCUAGGGCUCAGAUUUUGCUGUAUAUUCUAUGAACAUGCAAAGAGAAAGCAGACAUACGUCAUGGCUGCAAGACACCGGUUUGCAAAUUACUGCCAUACACGGGUCGCCCCGCCAAGAUACGGGUCUGUUUUUUCUCAACGCAUGUAAAAUAGAUAUAGCCCAGAAAGGAAGAAGCAAAUCAUCAUCACAGCCCAUUUCAGUAUCCUAUUUUGGCAAAUCAGUUGUCACCUUUGUGAAUACAAAGGAACAUAAAAGUGGCUACUAGUGCAAAAUCAGCUGUUGUAACAGCAGAAGCAGAAAAAGGAAGAGCAUAAUAGCCCCUUUUUCUAGAGAUUCAAGGGUAACCAAAUUGACGGAGAAAACUUUUCUGUUGACGAGAAUGGCUAUUUGUGCAAAUAAUAUUUUCCUUUUCUUGUUCUCUUUUUCUCAAAGGGUUGUUGGCCUUUUAACAAUGGAGAAAUCAUGGACAUAAUGCAGAGAGAGGGCAACCACCCUUUACUGAAAAUCCCAUUUCUCUCUCAGAUGCCUUCUCAAUCUUUCUUUCUGGGCUAAAAUUAGUGAGGGUUUUGGCUGUUUAUAUAAAUAGAAACAAUGUCCAAUUUCCAAGUUCUUUUGCGCUUGUCAUGGCCGACCAAGGGCAAUUUAAGGCUGUAUUCGGUUCCAGUUCUGGGUCUAUUUGGGUAAACGGUUUUGGUUUUGGCGGUUCCCGGUUCUGGCGGUUCCGGUUCUGGCGGUUCCCGGUUCUGGCGGUUCCGGAGCCNNNNN
rnacentral:lncRNA from 1 species